rnacentral:lncRNA from 1 species
CGAGCUCUGAUACCUGAUCCAAUCUGGUAUUCUACUCCCGGGAAUCACAAAAGCGACGUCAGAAUCCUGCAGAAAGAAAAUAAAUAAUGUCCAUGUUGAGAGAGCGAGAAAUUGCUACUUUCCCAUCUUGAUUCAUUCAACAUUUAUUUUACACUUAGUAAAACAGAACAAAGACUAAAAUAUGAGUUGUCUCCUCAUAUUUCAUACAGGAAUUAUAAAAAUAAAAAAUAAAAUUUCUGGCAAAAGCUUUUUAUUUUUUAUUUUUUAUAACGAAAAUUGGAUAUAAAGAGAACUCACUAGGGAUUCGAGUUCCCACGGCCUCAGCAGCUUGAGUGAUUCAGUUGUUCCCAAUGAUGUGCAAUCUGUUGCAUUUAAAGAACGUAUGCUUGAUGGAAGCUGUGGAAGUGCCUCUAGUCUUUUACAAUUUCCCAACACAAGCGUUUUCAGGUGAGAAAGUCCACUCAUGUUAGGCAAAGUGACAAAGUUGUUUCCCCUUAAAAUUAAAUCUUCAAGUGAAGAUGGAAACUGUGGAAGUGCCUGCAGUCUUUUACAAUUUUCCAACCCAAGAAAUACCAGGUGAGAAAGUCCACUCAUGUUAGGCAAAGUGACAAAGUUGUUUCCACUUAAAUUUAAGUCUUCAAGUGAAGAUAAGAAGCCAAGGCUACCAAGAUUUGCUCCAUCUGAUAUAUUGCAGUCACUUAAAUCUAGCUUCUUUAAAUAGCACAAGUUUGAGGAAGAAGGUACCGUGAAACAAAUAGAAUUUGAACUUCUUUUUGACCACAACCAUGAGGCAGAUGCUGGUCCACAUCCACGGAAAGACAACUUUUUAAGGUUUCUCAUAGAAAAAUUGGAAGGGGGUAGUGCUCUUACCACAGUUCCAUCUUCGUGAAGCUCCUUCAACAUUUCUAAGUUCCCAAAAUUCUCUGGAAAUUCUUCAAAUUUGGAGCAACCAGAAAGAAUUAAUGUUCGAAGAGAUUUGAAAUUCCAAAUCCUGCUUGGAAGCCUUCUAAGCAUUUUGCAAUCUUUUAAACUCAAGAAAUUUAGCUUCUUCAAAUCUCCAAGAGAUGGGUGAACCUCAGGCAAAUUUAUACAACCUUCUAAAACUAGACGUUCAAGGUUGGUGAUACCUGAGAAAUCUGGAGUUUCUAUCAAGCACUUAGAGUGGCUGAGAUCCAUGGAUUUUAAGCUUUUAAGAACCUGUCAUAAAAGAAAGUUAACUUAAAAAUUAGCUUCCCUAUAUAUUACAUACUUCCUAAAGAAAAUAACAUGAGUUGUAGAUCAUAAUAAUACCUUGAUUCCUUUCCAAAGUUUUUUAAUGUGACUAUAAGGCAUACUGAGAUCAACAAGAUGCUUUGGGCUGAAAUCCUUUGGUAAUGAUUUCAAAGAGUAUCCAUGCCAAUAUAAGUACCUCAAAUCAUCGGAACAAAAUUUAAAUUCAUGGGCAAACCGCACUCUACAAUUCACUUUGUUGUUAAAGGUAAAGGUAUCUCCGAAGUCUCCUAAAAUACUCUUAGAAUUAUAGACUUUGAGCAAUCUAAGUUUUUUCAUCCCAGCAAAGGCUUCAGUGGUGAAGUCUAGUAUAUCUUCUAAAUGAGACAAGUCGAGGAAAAUGCCUUCAAUUUUUUCACUUCCCUACAAACCAAGAAGCAAAUUAAGUGAAAAGCAUUCAAAAUGCAAAAAAAAAUUACUAUAAUUUCAUCAACAUAUUAGUACUUAAAAUAAAAUAAUUCUUAAUUUGUUCUACACAAAAUAAAUUUCGUGUUUUAUUUUUCUCUUACCAUAUUUCUUUUCAACACAUCAAAGAUAUCUUCUUGUUCCCACAAUCUACUUCGUCUUCCAGGCUCUUUUGGACAUUCUUGGCGAACAAUUUCCCACCCCAUUUGUUGUAACAAAUCAUGCAUGUCUAACUUGUUUCCAGAAAUACUUAUGAGACACUUAUCAUGGAGAACUCCUAUUCCACUUUCUGCAUAGAAAUCCUCAUCUAACAUUCUUGAAACAAAAUCUUUAUCUUUCCCUUUAAAAAAACAUGCAAUAUCUAGGAAUAUUCCCUUUUCCACAUCAUCUAGUCCAUCAUAGCUUAUUUUGAGUACAUUUUGAAUGCCCAUAUGGGGUAUUGUUUUAAGUUUACACAAUGCACUUUCCCAUUCACUUAUUGUCUUUUUAAAGAGAAAAGAACCUAGAACCUCAAGUGCUAGUGGAAGACCUUUAGCAUAAUCUACUACCUGGUAGGAGAGAUUUUUAUAAAUUUCAUUAGGAAGAUUUUGUUUGAAAGCCCACCAACUAAACAGCUCAAUAGCUUCUGCAUCAUGUAGUAUCGGAACUUCAUAUGAUUCUUUGACUCCAUAUUGGGUUAGAAAAUGUUUGUGUCUAGUUGUUAUGAUGAUCCUACUUCUUGGACCAAACCAACUAUGCUCUUCUGCCAAGUUUUCUAUUUGCAUCAAAUCAUCCACGUCAUCAAAAACAACAAGAACCCUUUUAGAGCUGAGACUCCUCUUUAUCAUCUGAAUUCCUUCAUCCAUAUUGCUUACUUUUGGACUUUUUCCCUUUAAGAUACCAUGAAGUAGUUCUUGUUGUAAUUGAAGUGCAUUGUCUUUGGAUCUUUCUCUAACAUUGUUAAGAAAACUACUACCAUCAAAUUGAUAUGAGAUAUCAUUAUAAAUAGCCUUGGCGAUAGUAGUCUUACCAAUCCCACCAAUUCCAUAAAUCCCAACCACACGAACUUCAUUCAACUCAAUAUUCAUCAACGAUUUCAACUUUUCCAAAUGAAAAUCCAUUCCAACUAUAUUCUUGCCCACAUUUAAAGGCUUACGAUUCAAUCUUCUAAUGAUGUCAUCAGUAAUUUCCUUGACAACCAGUGUCUCGUAUCUGCGUUAAUUACAAAGUAAAUGUGAUGAGUUGCAAAAUAUAACAAAGAAGUAAGUUUCAUGAUGUCUCUUGCUGUCUACCAGAACUGAAUUACAGGCAAUGGAAUAUAAAACGAUAAAUGGUCAACCAAUUUAUAAAAUUUACAUGUUUAGGUAGAAUUUAGUAUGUACACAUGGAAAAGAAAAGUGAAAAAAAGACAUAAAUAUGAUUUGUGUUAGCUUUCAUAGCUGGAUUGAUGGGAAGGCUCACAAUGAAAUAAAAAAGUGAAAGAUAUUACUAGCCUUAUAUGAUUAUCAGAGCAUUAGCAGAUAUAACUUUUAAUUUCGUACUUUCAAGCUUUUGGUUUUUUCCCAUCCAAGUUUCCUAAUCUAAUAACACUUUUGUUGAUGGGAGAAUUGUUAAAGGCUCCCCUCUUUGCUCCCAUGGCCUCCUUUCAACCAUUAUAACACAAACAAGUUGCUUAUGGCUCCUUUUCAAUUUUGCCUGUUUCUAAAUUGUAUCAACUUACUAAUGUUUUAAGACUUCCUACUUAAUUCACUUAUUAGUUAUUAAGUUUCACAUGUUCAUAGAAACUGUCAUGCAUUUUUCCAGAAGGGAUGGGGUACAAUGAAGAAUGUUCCAUAGGUUGCUUGAAGAACAUUGAACGAGAUAGAAAAAGAAGGGGAAGAAUCUUUUAGAGAAAAGGGUUAAGUUUUGGUGUUUUUACUUUUGGGGGAACAUAUAUAGAUAGAGAGUUUUUGCUAAUGCUUUCAUUCAUGAUGAGAAAGAUAAAAAUAAAGACUAAUAGCAUACAAAGUCAAGAUUAUAUAAAGCAAACCGAACUCAAGAUUAUAUAAAAUAAUAUUAAUAAAUUCAUCCAUAUUACUCAUGGUAGGAGGGAUAAGAGAUUGAAUUUAAGAAUAAGCAACACAAUGCCAAUACUAAGGUUAAUGGCACAUAUAUGCUACUUCCUACUCAGUAAAUAAAAAAAUGCAUUAAGAAGAUCAUAAAAAUUGAUCAGUAACAAAUUCUUAAGUCAAUGGAAAUUCUGAUAUGGUCAAGCUUGAGACUACUUUUUUGCCUCUGACUAUCUUUGGGAUUAAAGAGGCAGCCUCAUGUAUUAAUUAAAAUAAUAGGUUCAUUUGAGGGCACCAUAAACCUUCAAAUACAAGUCUAAAAUCAAAUAGUGUCUCCCUUCACUUGUUUGUCAGCUUUAAAUAAAAUUAAUAAACUACAAUGUAUUCCUAAAAGGCAAACACAUCCCAACAAAUUAGCCACAAAAUCAAGAAAAUUUAAAGACACAUAUGACAUUCAAAGAACAUGAAGCCCAAACCUAUUUGUGCUUUAUAUAAUCAUUGGUGCACAGGCCUUAUAAAAUCACUGGUGCCUCACAGCAAAAUGAAGUGGCUAAACAUAUGAAUAAUAUAUUUAUAGAUUUUUACAAGCCUAUGUUAAUGUGUUGCAAGUCCACAAAAAAGUUUUGACUUGCGAACAUGCAAAACUUUUGUCAAGGCAUGGCCUAUAAAGGUGAUAUGAAGUGAAUGUAAUAUAGAUGAUAGACUAUAAAGAGAGGUAGAGAUCCUAUAAUGACAACAAAAUCCUUCAUGGUGAGAAAACAAAACAUGAUUCCUAGACUUGUCGCAGCCACUAAAAAUGAUACAAAUUGGGUGGAUUGAGUCGAGUUGAUAGUUAAUUCAACCUUAGCCUUAACAUGAAGCUCAUUUGCCUUAAUUCGAACCUAAACUAAUACUCUGUCUGAGUUGUCUAACCCGAAAUCAACCCAAGCUCAGUUGAAACUAUAUAUACAAGCAAUAUACAUAAAGCAACAAAAACAGAGAGUGCAAGGCCAAUAAAUUUGUUCUCAAAGGAGAUUGAGAGGCCCAAAUGUAUUUUGUUGGGAAGUCUAUUCUAGAUUCAGCAUAGAAAGGACUGCAGAACCAAUUAAUUAUUUUUAUGAUUAAUGGAGCCCAAACCUAUUUGUUUAUUCAAGCAGACAUGUUUCAGCUCAAUUAAUCAUUAAAAUAAACUUGUUCUUAUGUUUUCCAAAGAAUCAGUAUUAACCGGAUAGUAUCCUCAACAAAACCAAUAAAAACUAAUGAAUUCAAAUGAAUUUAGGAAGAAAGGUCAUCCCAGUUGUCCUCCCUGUAUCGGGUAAUUAAACUCAUAGGAGUCUCACCAUCACCAAAGGGUGAAACUAGAGUCUCCACAUAGAAAGGCCACAUCCAACCUAGAGAAAUUACUGCAAAGGAUGAUAUCCUUUAUAUCAUAUUUAGAGCAUUGGAACAGAGAGCCAUAAUGGAGAAUUUAUUCCAUUUCUCUUUCAUUACCAUGAUUGGAUGGCUUAUUAGAAUGUGAAUAGAAACUAAAAAAUUGUUCUCAUGGAGAUGAAAUGCCAUUAAUCAGGAUUUUCAUUCUUCUCUUGCAUUCAUCCCAUUCUCAUUCUGAUUCUUUUAUACCAAAGGACCCCUAAAUGUGUUUUCUUUUGUAAGGCACACAAUACCAAAUCAUAGUCAAAACCACACAAGAAACUGACCAUUCUUCAGGCCACACUGGUUCAUCACUCAACCACCUGCAAAAACUAUGGCAUUCAUCAUGUAGAUAAAAGACAUCCUCCUAGAGCCCUCAGAUGAACAAAACCACAUCCAGCAGGUAGCCAUCAGUUGAGGGGUCAUAACUAAAUCCAUAGAAACACAAACCCCCUUGCUUAUUCGGAAUACCUGUAAGUGGGUAUUAUUUGGUUGAUGGGUUUAACAAGACAAGUUACAAACUAGACAAAUCAAGCCAUAUCACCAAUCCAGGGAAACAAAGUUUCAAAAUUUUAGUAUUACUAAGAAUUUUAUUUAUUAAGGUUUCUUAUAUUAUAUUGAGAAGACAUUUUAACCUCCAAAAUCAGAUGAUAUUUUAAAUUGGGGCCGGGUCAUCACAACUUAAUUGAUAUUGUUUUAAAUAAGAAAAAUUAUCAUAGAAACCAAUGAAAGAAAAGAAACAAAAUUGAUUGUAAAACUAAUGGUAGGUGAGAUAAAAUUUCUUACUGUUCAUCAACGUGCAAUCCGCACAGACUAGCUACUUGGUUCAAGGCAGUCCUCCACUUUUGUAUCACCUCCAUCUUCUUCUCGUCUGCAUCUUUUUCAUGGUCCACAAACGCAUCUCCAUAACUUCCCGACUGUUUUCGUACAUCGGAUGGAUUCACAUGAUAGAAAAUUGGUAGAAUUGUUGAUUGCUUUUGUGUCGUACACUCAAAAAUUUUUACGAGUUCAUUUAAACACCACCUGGAGUUAGCAUAAUUUGUCGAGAAAAUAAUAAUGAAAAUCUUUGAUUCUUCAAUGGCUCUCAAGAGAUCAGAUGCAAUAUCUCCUCCUUUCUCAAGUUCUUCAUCAUCUCUGAAAGUAUGAAUUCCAUAUGCAACCAAAGUGGUAUAGAGGUGAUCGGUGAAAUUUUUGCGAGUGUCUUCACCUCUAAAACUUAUAAACACCUCAUAACUAUGAGGAGAAGAAGGAGAAGAAGAGGCUUUUUGGCCGCUGGUAGAAGCCAUUUUUGGAUUGUUUGUGCUGAACCUGCAAAAGUCUGGAAAAAAAAAGAGGGUCUUUGGAUGGUGAAUGACUACUCCUGGCUUCUUAAGCCAUUUAAAUCUUGAUGGAAAAAGGAAGGAUGUAAUUCCUAUGGAACUUCGGGGAAGAAAGGCAGUACUCUAAAGUCUAAAGUAAACGAAGUUAAUGUUCAUUUUCUUUUGAAUUUGUGGGGCUACCAUUAAUGUCCAUUUUCUCAAUUAUUCCACAGUUGUGUCUUGUGUGGCUAUCAUUUCUUCUUUGCAGUGAUAUCCCAUACAAUUAGAUGCUAGUGGGUUCGGUCUGAAUCAAAGACAGGUCAUCAUUCCUAUACUUUCAGAUAUCAAUGGUUUGAUUUCUUCUUCUUUUUUUUUUUUUUAACAUUUUACUUUUGUUUUGCUUUUCUCCUUUUAUACUUUCGUAAUUGGCGUCGAAUCUUUCCUCCAAAAUUUUUCCCUUUUCUCUCUAAUGUCUUGAAAUUAGUUGGAAUUUACUUUUCCUUCCUCUUUUUGUAAGGGAGUCAUCCAACUCCUAAAUGAGUUAAAUCUUUCUUUUCACCCAUAUGCUUACAGGAUAUGAACGGAGAAGGUGGAGAGUGGCCCACACGAUUUGUGGGACAAGUUAAAUGACUUUUUUAGUCCUCAUUCUCAUCCGUAGAGUGCAUACCGUAGUUGGACUUGGAGGAUCCAUGGGAGAGUCAGGGUGUAUUUUGCAGGGAUUUCAAUAACAAUUUAAAAUUAAAUAAAUUUUGAUAACAGUUGUUUAGGAAUCAAAUGAUAGUAUUUCCAAAAAUAAUUCUUGAAGGAUGAUUUUAAUAAAAAAAAUUUAAAACAUGAAAUAGAAAUCACCAAACAUACAGUAAAAAUCAAUUUCCAAAUAUCCUUUUUGUUUCAAAAUCAUAUAUAUAUAUAUAUAUUUUCUAUUAAUGGAAUAUAUAUACACAUAUAUAAAAUCUUUAAUUCCCAAAAAUGAUCUUCAAAUUCUUAAAACAUGGAAAAUGUUUUUUUUUCAAUAGAAAUACCAUCUAUCAAACCUUUUUUUAUUUAUUUUUAUUUAUAUAUAUAUAUGUAUAUAUAUAUAUAUAUAUAUCUCAUAUAAAAAUAUUUUUUGUUAAAAAAAAUACAAGAGAUGAUUUUGUGGAGAUGACAAAGAAUACAUAAUAGAAAUACUCAAAGCCUUUGGGUCCUUCCCCAAUCUUGGAAUAUCAGUCCUCAUUGAAAAGUCUCUUAUAUCUAUUUCUAACAAAUAAGCUAAUGAUGCCUGAUUUGUUGGAUGAAAUUGGUUGUGAGAUUGUUCCUCAAGCAUCUCCUAAGAGAACUCGAAAAACGUAACUUACGACAUGACACAAUAGGAUGUCACUUGUGGCAUGACAAUCACAACACCUUGACUCUAAGUGUAUAGUACCAAGGCCUCAAGGGAUGACACCAUGGUUCCUUGAGUGGCCUAUGAUUAAGGCAAGGUGAGAUAGAGACUAUUUUUUCUUGUAAGAGGAACCUUCAAAAGGGAGAAUCCAAGUGGAAGUGGAAUUUUCUAGAAUUUCUUGAAUUAACUAAAAUUCAUGAUGCCUUCUUAAGUAUAGGCAAUGUCUCCUUUAGAAACUUCAAAAUGGUUUUAAAUGCUCUUUAUAUGGUAGAAAGAGGGGGGAGGGGGUAGUGACUUAAGGGAAGAUGAGGUGGCAUGGAUAUGGCUACACCUAAUAAGGCUUUCAGUGCAAGACCCUAGACAUAAUCAAGACACAUAAACAAGCCUUGGUAGCAUCCAUAAAUGGGUUCCACGACAUGUGAUGGUGUGCAACUUAUGACUAUAAUGGCAUGAGGCGUCAAGCAGUCUCCCUUCCUGUCGAUGGCACAAGGGCGCAAUGCCUUGUGCAAUGAGAUGGCUUGAUGAGCCAUCGGUGCAACAUCAUGGCCUGCCACAAGACUAAGAUGAACUUGGAUGAGGCAUGAGGAGAUGUAACAACAAUGAAGCUAACUUGAAUGUGAUGUCUAAUGCUUAGAGAAAGGGUGCAAUGCGUUGUGCAUGAAGAUGAGAAAGUCAUGGGUGCAAUGCCAUGACUUAUUGUUGCACUAAGAGAGGGCUUGGACAUGACAUGGUUUCAUAGUAGCAAUAAGAUAGAGCACAUAUGAGCAUGGUUAACGUGCUCCAAGAGCAACAAGUGCCUACAGUUGCAUGUAGCAAGCUGAUGGGGGCAUGUUGUGAGGCAUGCAAGCCUAGAGAGGACUUGGCAUGCACACAGACUGCAUAGAGAGCAUGUAGAAGGUAACUUAGAGAUGCUACAACGGGGAAGGAGUGUAGACAAAGAAAAGGCAUAAGAUGCACAUAAACCACAUAAAGAUGCAUGUGACGGGUUGCCUAGAGAUGCAACAUCAAGUUAAUAAAAUGCAUGGUUAAUUCAAGCACAUGAGUGGACUAAUGCAAGUGACAACACUAAGAGAACAUUCAAAUAGAGGAGGAAUGGACCAAAGACAUUUGAAAUCUCAAAGUUGGAAUCAAAUUGGGAUUGCAAUUUGAGUUUAAGUAGGAGUUCAUAUUCUUAUUGUAAUUGUAGUCUUACUAAGACUAAGACUGCUUGUCCCUAAUCCAAAUAAGAGUGGUUGGUACCACAACCUAUAAAUAAGAGUUUGGGUAGGACUAGGAUUGUUAAUUCCUAGUCAAAAUAAAAGUAGGUCGUGCCACACCUAUAAAAAAGAGGAUAGAAGUGCGAUCUAAAGGCAUCUUGUAGGCAUGAGAUGAGGGAGAGCCUUCUUUAAACAUGGCAUAAGAGUAAGCAUGAACUUACCAAAGAGAAUGUGGGAGCCUUGUUAGCUAUGUCUUGCAUUGUUAUAUAAAGAAGAAAUAAAAUACAAGUUGGGGAUUGAGCCCCAUAAACCUCAUGUUUCUUUGUGGGUUCUCUUUAUUGCCAACUCAUGUGAGAGUUAAGUAGGUUGGCUUAGAGGGCUUCUAAGCACUGCAUUGAUAAGAAAAACUAGUGAGAAAGUUUGUGCGUGUCAAAGCAAGGAGUUACCAUGGCUUAAGAAUGCUAAUGUAUUGGAGGCAACGCAUGAACAAAUUGCAUGCUUGAAGGUGUAUUUUCGGAGAAACUCUUGAUGUAUGCAUGACUUUAUUUAUAAGAGUGACUGAAGGUUGCAAAUAACUUGGUGUUUAAUAGGUUAUGCUUGAGAGCUGAAAUAAGUUGUCGGAGGAUCGAGUUGCUUCUUUCACAACUAUCAUAGAGGAGUUUAGUGGCAAGAUCGAGUCCUUUAAGGGGUAGAUCACAAUAUUGAGAAAGGUUGUUAUUUGGGGAACUUCAACCAUUUCAAAACCAACCCCAACAAAGGUACGAGUGCCUAAGCCAAAGCCCUUUAUCAGAGUGUGAAACGCAAAGGAUUUAGAGAAUUUUAUGAGACAUGCAUGAAGCAAUAUUUUAGUGUUGUAUUCCUCUAGAUGAGCAAGUAACCCUAUCCACCAUGUAUUUUUCAAGAGAUGCAAAACAAUGGUAGCACAAGAGAACCAACAAUGAUGUUGAGUCAUGGAGACCAAGAAUUAAUAUGUGGAAGACCCUAAAAAAGGAGUUGAAAGAUCAUUUCCUCAUUUUUAAUAUUGUGUGGGUGGCAUGGGAGUCUUUAAAAGGUUAAAAUAGACUGGAUCUAUUAGAAAUUAUGUCAAGGAGUUCAGUUUAUCGAUAUUUGACAUCAAAGACAUGUCAAAAGUUGACAAGUUGUUCAGCUACAUGUUCGAGUUGCAAGGUUAAGCCUAAACUGAGUUAAGGUUGUCUAAGGGGUGUAGGAUCUACUUGUAACCAUGAAAACAAUGGUUACAAGUAUGAAAGAAGAGCUAAAAGGAAGAUAAGCAAUUAACCCGAGAAAAGUUGAAAAACCUUAUUAUGGUUGUUUUAGUAUUAUUGAUAAGUUCUCAAUUACACCUCUGAACUUAAAUUUAAUUAAGUUUUAUUUAUUAUCUUGUUUUUACAUAUAUAUAUAUAUAUAAUCAGAGCUAAAUUCUAUAAACAAUAAUAUGUAUUUAUAUUUACAUUUUUUAUUAUGGUUUCUUAUAUCCAUAAUCUAGAUAGAUUAUAUAUUUAUAAAAUGAUUUAUAUUUUUAUAUGAAAAUUAUGCUGUAGGAAAGAAAAAGUUGUACAAUUAAUUCAACGAAACAAAAGGAAUUCUGAAACACGGUACGAGGGGGCUUUUUAUCAUCACCAACAAGAAUUGAAUUGAAUAAAAGAGCUAAAUUUGCUUGAUUGGGAAGUAGAAAGGAAAGCAGCGUGAUAUUUGGUAAAGCAGAACGCUGGUGUCGGGCCACAACCACAAGGCAAGCCGCGUGGACGUACUUGGUCAAAAAGGUCAAAAAUAAAGUCUACUUCACAAGACUGCAACCACCGGGCAAGCCGCGUGAACGUACUUGGCACUCACCCACCAUGCUUCUCUCCUUUUGCUUUGCUCCUUCCAGGCACUUGUCUAUAUCUACAAUCCUCAGUUCAUACCCUUUAAAAUUUAAUCCAAUGGCCAGAGCUAAAAGUACUUGAAUCCAAUGGUCAGGAAUAACCCCAUCUUAAUCCCAUGGCAAGAAAAAAUCCUGUUUAAAUUCCAGGGCCAAGUUUCCUCCCUUCUAAUUCAAAGGCUAGAUUUCAUCCCUUUUGAUUAAAAGGUCAUAUUUAAUCCCUUUUUAAUUAGUCCAAGGAAUAUAAAGAAAUAUAAAAUCUCACUUUACUACUGCAAAUUAAGAAAAAACCUCUACACUAUUAGCUAUGAAAAAUAAAGUCAAAAGGGAGGUAAACAAAUAACCCAAAAAAGGUUGAAAAACUUUAUUAUGAUGGUUUUAGUAUUGUUGAUAAGUCUCAAUUACACCUGACCUUAAACAUAAUUAAGUUUUAUUUAUAAAAUUUUUAGUUAAAGUUGAGUUCUCAAUUAGAAUAUUCACAUGGAUUUAAUUAUGUUCAAAUUUCACCAUGAAGAACAAACUUAAUUGAGGUUAAGUUCUCAUGUAAAAUAUUCACUUAAAAUUAACUGUAAUUGAGUUAUAAUUUAUGAAGGACUUAAUGGUGGUUAAGUUCUCAAUCAAAAUAUUAACUUGAAUUUAAACUAUGGUUGGUUAAGUUUCAUUUUAUAAAUAAUAAUUCAACUGCUAUUGAGGGCAUUUUAAAUAUAGAUAAUUGCAAUAAAACCUAUGAAUAAACGUGUUAUAUUUGUCAUUCCAAAUAAUAAGUUCAUCCAAGUAUUUAAUUGUUAGUGAUUCUAUAAGAUUAAGUCUAUCACAUUACUAUAAAUUUAUAUAAUUGUUCAUCCAAUAUAUUCACAAUAAUAAUCCACGUUGGACUUGCAUUGUUGGAUUGAAUUAACCAUGGACCUAAUCCCUAAAGUGUGUAUAUAUUUUAAAAAAAUAAUAAUUUAUAUGUGUAUUAUAAUUUGUUUUAUUAUUUUUUAAUAUUUCAUCCAAAAUUUCUAUAUUUUAAAAAGUUGAUAAGAUGAUUGUCUCAAAAACAUUUUUUGAAAAACUACUUUUACUAAAAGCAUUUUAAAUAAAAACACUUAUCAAAUGCACUUUAAAAAUUUGUUUGACAGUACUUUUAGGAAAUAUUUAUAGUAUAAAAAUGUUUUCAAAAUAAAGAAUAAUGUGUUCAACAAAAUUUAGAAAGUAUUUUUAAAUAAUUGAAAAAUCAUUUACAGUAUUCCUAGAAAAAAAAAACAUUUGACAGGCAAUCAUCAUAAAAAUACUUUCAUUAAAAGUAUUUCAAAUAAAAAUAAUAUCCAAUGCAUCCCAGAUAAAUUUUUGACUCUUCGAAAAAAUAUAUCCAUAUAUAUUAGAACAAACAUACAAUUAUGUUGCAUAUCAGCACAUGAUGUAUCUUAGAAAAAAUGGUAUUUUUACGCAAUGAUGGGGAAUAAAGGAAUAAGAAGUUUGUAUUUUCCUAAAAGAUGCAUGUGGGAUUAGUUAAAAGAUGCCUUUGUGAAGUUUGCCUUACUUUUGACGCCCGUCUGCUCACCUACCAAGCAACCUCCUCUCUUGUUUAAAAAUUUUCAAGCAUUUGUUAGAAGAUUCUUAAAAUUAUCUUUUUCUUCUUCUUUUUUUUUUUUUUUCUUAUUUAUUUAUUUAUUUAUUUAUUUUUAAUAAUAUCAAAUGAGGCCCAUGAAUGGAACCUACCAAAAGCCUUGUGCAUGGCCGACGUAUUUGAUAUUUUAGGAUUUCUUUUUAAUAGACAAGCAUUUUCUCACACAUCAAGUUUUGAAACUCACUUUUUCCUUUUAUUUGGUUUUGAAAAUGAGAUCAAAUAUACAAAUAUUUAAUUAAGGUUUAUAAAUGAAACAAAACCUUAAUCUCAUUUAAGUUCUUUUUAAAUGAAACUUAAUCAUAUUACAACUCAAGUCAUUAUAAUCAAGCUUUCUACAAAUGAAAAGCAAACUUAACACCGGUUAACUUUUUUCUAAUAAAACUUAAUUAUAGUGUAGUUCAAAAUAUCAUUUGAUUGAAAGCUUAACUGUAUUUAGGUUUUUUUUUCUUUUAUAAAUUGAACUUAACUCCCAUGCAAUUAAGUUGAACACCCUUCAUGAGAAAUUAAUAAUAAAAAAGUGAAAUGUAAAGAUAAAUAUAUUAUAAAGAGAUGGUGAAAUGAAUAUAAUGAAAAAAAAAAUGAGAACGUGAUUUUUUUUUUUUAGGCAAUAUAGUUUAGAUGAACAUGAAUAAAUGGUGGAUAGAGCAUUAUGAGAUGAUAACUAACCAAAGUGUCUUGUAAAAACUAAAGUAAAUUAAAAAUAUGAUGGAUGAUCAUGAAAUGAGAAAGAAGGAAAGUUUGAAGUCACGGUACUUAAAAAUUAAGCCAUGUAGUGAGAGAGAUUAUGUUGGAAUCAAUGUUAGAGUGAGAAAGUAAAAAAAAAUUGUUUGAAAGAUAAAUGAGUAGGAAAAAAACUAAAAUGAACAAAAUAAAUGGGAACACCAUGCUUUUGGAGGAAAACAAAUUAAAAUGGUAAAAAAAUAAAAAAUAUAUCAUCUUUUAGCAAAAUUAAGGAAGGAUGUCAUUCUUGCCAUUUGAUUAUUAUUUUAGCCUAUCAAACCAGAUAACCUUAAAAUAAAAUUCUAGAAAAACCAAUCAAUCCAUCAAUUUCAUCAACCAUGGUGUCCGGUUGGCGACCCAACCUACCAAUAAAUUCUUAAUGGCUCAACCACCUCACUAUAAAUAAAUUAUACAAAAUAUUAUGAAAUAAAUAAUAAACAUUAAUUUCUACAAAAUGUUAAUGCAAAGUACUCUCAGCUUAUUACAAUUAAUGUUUUAAUAUCCCUCAUUUAAAAAUAAAUUUUUUUUUUAGCAUGUUGAGAUAAAAUAAGUGGGUCAACAAAGACCCUUCUUCUUCGAUGAUCUUACAGACAUUUAAUUUACUUGUUGCAGAUGCCACUUGCUCAUUGGUAUUUCUGCUUUGAUUUUCUUUCUCUGUUGUAGAAUCGUAGUUUUUAAGUAGGUCAUAAGUAAAUUUGAGCCAUUCCUUUGUUUUUUGAGUUGAUUUCUAUGCCUCACCAUGCAACUUGUUUACUCUUAUUUUAUUUCUAUUUCACAUGCUGUUGGUAUGUGAUUCGUCCCUAGCAGUGGCAGUGGCAAUGGCACCAUUUGAUUCGAGGUUCGAUCCCCGGCAACGGCGCCAUUUGAUUCGUGCCCAAUUGGUGUCUCAGCUGAUUUGUGUUCAGCUGGUGCUCCUUGAUUGAGGGAGUGAUCAACAAAAUUUAUAACCUAUAACACUAUAUACUAGGGUAGCAAAGACAAAGCUACUAUAGCAUAGUGGCUCUAGGAUCGUUCACUGGGAUGGGUUUUCACUUCACAAAUGAUGUUAAUUCAAAGUUGAAUUGGUGCCUUUUCAUUUCAAGAUUAGCUUUAAAAGAAAACAUAAAGAUGUUUGAAUGAAAAAGGUUUAGGUUUAAACUAACCACAAAUAGUAACUGAUUUUACUUACAAAGAAAAGUGUUUCUUGGAGUUUCAGAUCACUAGGCUCAGGUUCCUCAUACAAAAAGGGAGUUCCGGUCACUUGUUUCUUUUCCUCGCAUUAGAGAAUUAACAUAUAGUUCCUUCUCCAACCGGUGUUGUACAGAUGCUUCCCAUUAAUGGGUUCAAACACUAAAUCCCUCUCACUGAUGCACCUUGCAAUGGCUCAUACCUCUCACCUAGCACUUGCCAUUCAAGAUGAUCUUUAACCUUGGACUUCCCUUCAAAAGCUCGCAAGAGAUAACUAAUGGAUGCCUCCUUGGAGUCCAAAAGCUUACCAAGUGUUGGCUAUUCUAGAAAAUCCUACCUUCAAGUCACCUCCCAAAGGCUCGCAAGGGGUAAACUAGUGCAUUUCCAUGGUUGGAAAUCACUUGCCUUACCAAGUGUUGGCCCAGGUGACUCUAAGGUGUUUUAAGUUAACUAAAAACAUAGAAAUCACUAACGGGUCACACUUUCUCUUCAUUAAAAACUAAAACAACAAAACUUCCAAAUUAUGUAUGUGGAAACUUACCCAACUUUCCUUACUCCAGGAGACAAAAAGCUUAGCCUCUCAUCCUCUGUGGAAAAACCCUCAGAGUUUGGUUGGCUAGAAAAUGAAAAUGAAAGAGAAGACAAGAAUAUAUAUGAAAAACAGAGCAAGUGCUCUGUUCUUUGAUUCUAUAUAUGAUAUCUCUAUUACAUACUUCUCCGAGCGUCUCCUGAGAGUGUUUACAAGAGAGUUUAUAUAGGAAGGUAAUUUACCCUUCCUUGGAUACUUCCUAGCUAAGGAAUUACAUGAGUGGUUGAAUACAAGGAGAAAAUGGAAAUUUAGACACAAAAAUCUGAAGAAAAAUAUCUAAAAGAGUCGGUGCAAAAAUAUCGGGAAGCUCUAGGAACAUUUCGCAGGUGAAAAAUGGUGUCUGCGAGAUUUCGCAGACACUCAAGAGGGCUGCGAAAUAUUUUCGCAACAACAAGUUAAACUCGCAGGGCUGCGAAAUUGGCUUCCACCUUGAGGUUCUCAGCGUUCCAGCUUGCAGCAUGUAUCGGGUAGCUUCAGGAGGAAUUCCAUAGCACUGUACAAAAAGGCUGCGAAAUUCUCGCAACAAAAGGCUGAUUUCGCAACACUUUGGAGUGAUCUGCUUGCAAUGGCUGUAACUCCUUCGUUUCAACUCCAAAUCGCGCACCGUUUGAAGAAUUGGAUUCUUGACUUCAUGAGCUUUGAAAUGGUAUAUAGAAUGUAGAAAAUGGACUUCGGGAAGUGCUCCAAAAGUGCGAAAGAAGACUGCAGCUAGCUUUCCUCUGUUUUCUUCACUCUGUUUUUCCUCUCUCCUUGCUUCUCUCCUUGCAUACUUUGAACGACUUUGGCAAAGGGCUAUGGAGCUCCAAAGCUUGGUUCUUCAUGAAUUUGAGCUCUUCAUUGCUUUGCCAUGGAUUCCAAAUAACUCUCCUCAUUCUUGACUUGCUUUGGUGAUCAAAAUACUAACAAAAACACCAAAACUUACACAAAGUGAUCAAAAUUGCUUUAAAGGGUCCUUAACAUGCCAAUUGAGUUAAAAGGCCUAAACUACUACUCAAAAGUGUUUAAAAGGAUUAAUUAUAGGCUAUCAAAUAGCACUUUUUGAGUAGUAAUCAGUAUGCUUAAGAAUGAUUGUAAGUGAGAAUUUGGGAUUAAAAGGGAAAAAAAAAAACUACUGGUCAAGAAAUAGAAAAAAUUCGGGGUUGGUUGUGGUGAUGACUUUGACAAAAAGAUAAAAUUGGAAUAUGUUUAUACUUGAAAGGGAAAUUUGUUAUCAUUAUUAGGCAGUGCUUGUAAUAUUAUUUGAUGGUAUCAAUAUUAUUUAUUAGUAAAAUAACUAACAUGGUGUUUUAAUAUAUUUUUUGUUUUUUAUUUUAAAAACAAAAAAUAGUAUAAAAUUUUGAAAGCAAUUUUAAAUUUUUUAUAUUUUAUACUAUAAAUCUUAUAUUUUUAGGAGAGGGAUAUAACAAUUCUUUUUUAAAAUAAAAAAUAAUAAUAAUUUUUAUAUAAAAUAUAGGAACUUUUAAAAAUGAAUUACCUUUAAUAAUAGGGAAGUCUAUUUUUGUAAGAGGUAAGUUACUAAUAUUUUAUUUUUUAACAAAUAGAAAAUAAUUCGAAUCAUACUUAGAAUUUUAAAAUGUACUAACUAACAACAAAAAUAGAAAACAUGCAAUACAAACUUCUUUUAAAUAACUACGAUGGUCAAUUGGUCCUUUCUACGAGUACCCCCAACCCCUCUUCCCUUUGCACAACCAAGCCUUACUUGACUUUGACUAAAUGGGGAAGCACUUUGUCAAGCUUAUUUUUUUAUCUACGGCAUAGAAGGAUCCUUAGUUGUGUGUAGUGGCUCAAUGAGUUUCUUAAUGAGGUUUUUUCAUCAAGUGAUAUGCUUUUGAUAAAUUAUAUCCACCACUUUUGUAAUAUAAUUAAGAAAACAAAGUUUUAAAAAAUAAAAUAAAAUAAACUAUGCAAGAGAAAUGAGAUGGAACAAAUAUGACAAAUUCUCAAAUUUGUCCUAUUUAACUUUUUUUUUUUUUUUUUUUUUUUUUGGAGGGGGAAUGGGAUGAUAAUCUAUUUGAAUAAUAAAACAUGGUAAAGAUAGAGUUGACUCGUCUUAGACCCACCAAACUACAUCUCUAUCAAGGAGUAAGGAUGAAAAUAUCGGUACUUCGAUUUUACGGAUAUAUCGAAGAUAUAUCAGCGGAUAUUUUGGAAAAAAAUAUUGAUAAACCUAAAAUUGAUCAAAAUUUAUAAACAUAUAAGAAAAACUUCAUAAAAAUAUAAUUAGAAAUAUAAUGAUAUUUUAAAGUUGUUUUAUUAAAUAAUUUGAUAUAUUUAUAAAAUGAUUUAGCAUAUUUGAUAAUAAUAUCGUAUGCAUCGAUAAAAAUAUGAAUUUUAUAAGUGUAUAUUUAUUAUUAAAUUAUAUAUAAUAUUAUGAUAUUUGAUUAUAAUAUGUCUAAUUUUAAAAUAUAUAGUAAUGUUCACAUUAUGAUCCAUUUAAUUCAAUUGUAUUAAAUAAUAUAAAAUAAAUUAUGAUAUAUGUAUAAUUUUUUAAUAUUUAAUUAAUUAUUAAUGAUAUUAAAAACACGAAGAAAAUUAUAAAUCCAAGCCAUGCCUCACUUCCACUAAAUGAGAGAUUGGAGUGGACUCGGUGAAGACUUGUACUUCUGCAUAAAGUAAAUAAAGGGGUCCACUUCUUGUGCAAAUUGGUCCUGGAAGCGUGUUAAAGGAUAAAUGAAAGAAAAUGCAACUAUGUGAAUGAUAGAAGACGUAAAGAUAGUCAUGAGAUGUGUGAAAAUGAGAAAACAACAGCGAGAAAAGCCCAUAAGUGGAUUCCAUCCCUUUCCUUGCUCCUUUUUCUUAUGUAUGUCUAGGCUCAUGGAUUUCCAUUCAAAUGGGUUUUGUUAAUUUGUUGUCAUAUUUCCAUAUUUCUAUAUAGUCAACAAACGCGACAUGUUUAAUAAGCAAAUUCUCUUAUAAAUCCUUUAUUUUUAUUUUUUAAGUUUUCAACUUUUCAAAAACCUAUCAUGAAAGAGAAAAUCGCAUUAACAAAUGACAGCUACCAUUCGGUUUCACUGAUGAUGACUGAGGAAUAUACUGAAAAGCUUUGUUGAGUAUUAUGGGGAGAUGGGUGGAAGUUCCUCCACAAAAAUCAUGGGAAAGUUCAUGGAAAUUCAAAAGCUAGCAUCCAAAGACUCAUUCUCUCCAACUUUUUUCCCUCUAUAAUCCACUGAAUGUAAAAAGGGAUGGGAGAGAAGAAUCAUAGCUAUUUCCUAUUUUCUUGACUUGACUUGGAAUGCUGUCAUUUCUAGUCAGAAAUUUCAGGCUUCCUUCCUUACUAUUUGCACGCCUGACAACGUGAUUAAAGUUGUUUAGGAAGAUAGUUGGAAGCCACUUACCUCCCCAAGUUGUAAAGGAAAUCAAUUGAGUACAGUAAUACUACUAUUGCAAAUUUAUAAAGAUUUUGUAUUUUUCUCUACCCAUCAAUAAAUCAAGCUUUCAAUGCCAAAUUUUUUAAUUUUACUUAUUAUGUUAACCUAAUAAAAUUUCAUUUUCUAUUGUUGAAAUUUAUCUUUAUUCUUUUUAUCUAAGAGAAAAAAGAAAUGAUACUUUAGCUAUUAUCAUAUGAAUUCCUAGGAAAUAAAAGAAAAAAACAAGUAAAUUGAAGUGCCAAAAAAAAAAAAAAGGUAAAAUAUAAAGAAAGGAGUCAGAAAAAGCAUGGAGAGUGCAAUUAAUAAUUGAGGUAGGACUUUGACUCUCGUGAACCCCCCACUGUUACUCAAUGCUAAAGGAUUGCAGCCAAUCAAAGAUGAGAGAGAAGAACUAGACAUCCUCAUCACCAUCGUCCCAACAUUCAAAAGACCCCUUUUUUGUCUUCUUCCAAAUUCUGUUCUUGUAAUUUUGUUACAAUCCAACCAUGGCUUCCACUAGCAAUCCCAAGAGACCCUCUUCUUCUUCUUCUUCUAAUUCUAAAUGGAGGUACGAUGUGUUCUUGAGUUUCAGAGGCGAGGAUGCCCGCAACAACUUUACUAGUCAUCUCUAAAGAGAAUAACAUAAGUUGUAGAUCAUAACUAUUACUAUAUUUAUUUUUAUUUUAACCCAAUUUUUGAAUUUUUGAAUUUUUUUCUUUCCUACAGGAUAAUUUACAAGUCAAACUUUUUAAUAAGCAAAUAUAAACUAAUGGGGUUUUAGAUAACUUUUUUUUUUUUAGACAAGAAGUCUAAGGGGUUUGGUUAAUCCAAUGUUUAUAUAUAUAUAUAUAUAUAUAUGCUUUGGAUUUUAUGAAAACAUCAAUGCAAGUCUUAAUAUUGGUAAAAUUUUUAUACCAAUUGAAGAAAAAAAGGGGGAAAUGAUAUAUAAAAAAAAAAAAUCCUUUGAAUAAUUUAUAUGAAACGUUUAUUAAAAAAAAGUCUAUGUAUAGUAAAAUUGUUGGAUUGAUUGACAAUCUAAUGAAUAAAUAAUCUAAUGUGCAAUGUACUAUUAAUGUUCUAUAUAUAUAUAACAUAUAUGGUCAUUAUGCACAAGGGAUGAAAAUCUAGCCGUUGGAUUAAAAAGGGUUGAUUUCAAUGUCACAUGGAAAGUAAAAGCAAGGCAACUGAGUGGAGGCAAUAGUUUUAUUUUGACCUUCAACGUGCUUUCCUCUCUUAACCCCAUGUUGAUGGGAACAUUUUCUUUACUUGUUGCAGAAGCAACUUAUUCCCCUCGUAUGCUGCAAGUUUUGUAGUCAUCUUCACCAAACACUUGUCACCGUUUUUAGUUAUUACUAAUGGUCAUUCUCUUGUGUUCAAAUUCCUCACAGUAGCAUUCUUCAAUUACAGCUCUUUUUCCAUUUCUGCUUCACAAUUAAGAACAUUUAGCUUCAUUAUUCACUUAUUGUUAGCUGUACAAAGCUACAGCUAUCAUUUUGCUUCAGAAUUUCUUUUGAUUUGUUCAUGGAGUUUUUGGAAUUAUAUAAAUCAAUUAUGAGACUACAUAUUAAUAUAAAUUAAUAUUAAAUGGAACGUAUUGCUAUUCUCCUCACAUCCCAUAGUUGAGUGAAAUUUUAGUCCUCUUACAUUUUUUUUGAAUGUAGAAGGCUGAAAACUCCAUUAUUGCACUCCAAUAGAUAUAGGUAUGCUUUCUUAUUAAUUUUCUUAAUGAUUUAGCAUGAGAUUCUUGGACAGUGAAUAAAGGUUUUAUCAUUUAUCAAUUUUCUAAUAAUUAGUGUGCGAUGAAGUUCUUGGGCGUGUCUUCUCUAAAGCUGAGGAAGACAUCAUGCUUGGGCUGAGAAGAAGAAAAAGUUGCAGCAUCCAUUAUGGAGAAGUAGAGACAUGAAGAGAUUUGAGUUACCACUCCAAAUUACCUGUAGAGAAAAGUGCUUCUAUUGAUUAAUAUAAUUCUGAAAAGGAGAAUAAGAAGCAGAAGAUUGAACCUGCGGAUCUAAGAAUUACAGAUGUUGGUGAGAAAUCCAAGCCAUGCCUCACUUCCACUAAAUGAGAGAUUUGAGUGGACUUGCUAAAGACUUGUACUACUGCAUAAAGUAAAUAAAGGGGUCCACUUCUUCUGCAAAUUGGUCCUGGAAGCGUAUUAGAGGAUUAAUGAAAGAAAAUGUGAUAGAAGAAGCAAGACAAGACACUGUAAAGAUAGUCAUGUGAUGUGUGAAAAGGAGAAAAAUAAUGAGAUGCGCAGAGCAUACUGCAACGGGCCGCUCCAAUAAUGAGAUGCGGCCAAAGUAAUGCUCGGAAUGCAGGCAUUAUUAGGACAACCCACUUCCAUCAACUGUCGAACCAAAAUAUACAAUUGAGUCAUUUUCAAGCCCAUUUAUAUUUAUGCAGUCCGAUCAUAACUGAUGCACAUUUGAGUGUUGUUUGGAUUAAGUUUCCUUGUUUUUAAAAAAUGUUUUUUAUUUUUUAAAAAACACAAAGUAGCAGUAACUCAACUCUUAUAGAAAAUGCAUGAAUAAAUAAUCUUCAUAUAUUCUUAAAACCUACCAUGAAACUAAGACAAAAGAUUCUGUUUUUAAAAAUUAGAAAUAAUUAUAGCACUAUUGGACUGUUAGUUCUCUAUAAACUGUUUUAAAAAACAAAGUGAAUAAAGACCAAUUUUUAUUUUUUUUAUUUUUUAUCACUUUUAAAAAUAUAUACACUAUGAGAAAAUGAGGAGAUAGUCACACAACUUUAGUCAGGGUUAGCAAAACUCAUGACCAAAGGGUGUGUACAGUUGUGUUUAGAGGGGUUAGCAAAAAUCAUGACUCAAGGGUUUGUAUAGUUAGUUGUGUUUAAGAGAGGUCCGCCUCUACUAGUCAUGAUCGUACCAAAUUCAAGUGGGUAAAUUUCCUGGAGUACGGGGCUGUAGUACAACCAUAGAAUGGUUGUGGACAUGGUAUUUCAUGGGCAGUGGAAAUAGGCCCAAUAUGCCAACAGUGGGCCAAACGGUAGAGACUGGGUCUGCAUAUAAACCCAAUUCUUUGCGGCCCUAUCUCUUUCAUAUCCUUUUUUUUUUUUUUUUUUUUUUUUGCAAAUAUGCUCUCUGUGAACUAAUUUCAGCAGCCCUAGAUUACAAACUCCACAGAUUUCGUAUCCAAUUUAGGGCAAAACUGCAGUUUGGAGGUUUUGGUUUAGUUUUAAUUUUUUUAGUUCUUUCUGGUUUGUUUAUCAUUUUUAUUGUAUGAUUAAGAAAAUUAAGGCUAAAUUUUUGUAGUUUGUUUGGUGGAGAAAAGGCUCGAUAUAUACUUAAAUAUCAUGAAAGUUAAUUUUCUUUAUUUUCUUGACAACCAAAUAGACAUAAUGCUAGUAGAAUUAGAUAAAUUCUCAAUUUGAAGAAAUUCAUUAGAAAAUUGUUGACAAACUAAAAAAAUAUUUGCACAAAAACAUGUCUUUUUCUUGGUGGAACCAUCACUAAUUUUGUUGUUAUCUUUGCCUUUUUCUUCAUCUUUAAUUGUGAAUAUAUAUAUAUAUAUAUAUAUAUAUAUAUAUAUAUAUAUAUAUAUAUAUAUAUAUAUGCAUGUCUUGAUUAAAUUUUCUUUAUUUUCCCCUAUAACUGUGCAUGUUAGUAGAUCUGUGUAAGAGAAGAUACUGAAAAUCACCACUUCAACACCUACACAUCAACGCCCAAUAACGCAAUAUUUGUGCUAUUGCUAAGCCUAAAUUUCCUUUACUUUUUGUUUCUCAUUUCUCCCAUACAAAACCUUUUGUGGUUGUCGUGGGACUAUAAAUACCAUCAUGUAUUCUCUUGGCCAUAUAAAUGGAAUUUGCUAUGGUUUGCCAUCUCUAUGUUGAGCCAUAUUCAAACCUGAAAUUCUUUUUGUUCUAUUUUUUAUUUUCUGUCUUCCUAUUAGAGCCAUUGGGCAUCAUCAAUAUAAAUUAAAGCUGACUCAGCAUACUUGCCUCCCUUUCCAUCUAUGACAAUAGUAGGCUCAACUCCAUUAGCACUCAAUAUUGAUCUACCUUAAUCCUUCAUUACUAACAACUCUUUGCUUGGCAAUAUCAUGAGCUUUAGAUCUCCAAUAAAACUAGAUUGGAACAAUUUUCUUUUAUGAAAAUCCAUCAUCAUUACGACUAUGAAAGGACAUGACUUAGAUGGUUAUCUAUUUGAGACACAAACCCAUCCCAGAAAAGCUGCUACAACAGGUUGGUGAGGCAUGAUUGAAGGAGUGCAAACAAAGAAAGGGCUUGAGAUGUGCAUGAGCCGCACAAAAGUGCAUGUGACAGGUUACCUAGAGAUGCAAUGUCAAGUUAAUUGAAUGCAUGGCUGAUUCAAACACAUGAGUGGACUAAUGCAAGCGACAAUACUAAGAGGAAUUUCAAAUAGAGGAGGAAUGGACCAAAGACACUUGAAAUCUCAAAGUUGGAAUCAAAUUAGGAUUGCAGUUUGAGUUCAAGUAGGAGUUCAUAUGCUUAUUGUAAUUGCAGUCUUACCAAGACUAUGAUUGCUUGUCCCUAAUCCAAAUAAGAAUUAUUGGUACCACAACCGAUGAAUAAGAGUCUGGGUAGGACUAGGAUUGUUAAUUCCUAGUCAAAAUAAGAAUAGGUGGUGCCACACUUAUAAAAAGAGGAUAGGAGUGCCAUCUAAAGACAUCUUGUAGGCAUGAGAUGAGAGAGAGCCUUCAUGAGACUAAGCAUGAUCUCAUCAAAGAGAAUGUGGGAGUCUUGUUAUCUUGCAUUGUUAUUUAAAGAAGAAAUAAUAUACAAGUUGGGGAUUGAGCCCCAUAAAUCUCAUGUUUCUCUGGGUUGAUCAUCUUCAGUUGACAUGCCAAUGCCUUGAUAUUGUUUUAAAACAAACUUCUUGGGAUUUCCCUUAUGUGGUGUUGCUUUUGCGGUGGGAGCCCUAGAAAUAUGUGUUGUGAAUUGAAGUCAAAUGAGCUCCAUUCCUGUAAUGCAAAUUAAUGAGGGGGAUUAUUCUAGUGGGCUCUAGUGAAGGAGCAGAAAAGCAGAAGCAGAUGAGAGAAAAGCUCUUGUAACAGAACCUAAUCUUCCAGCAUCCAACUGUUUUUUGAUUGUUUUUCUUCAUUCCUAGAAAUGGGAGGACUAGGCAACUAAAGGAUUCACACUUGUCAGAAUAUAUAAUUAUUGUAAAUAAUAUUUUACUCCUGUAUGUAAUUUUUCUUGUAUAGGGUGAUAAUCCCUUUGAUGAUGACACAUGUAUAGGAUUCACACUACUUUUUUUUUUUUUUUAAGUUGAAUAAAAGUUUAUAUGUGUGUUUGACUAAUUUUAUUUAAGGCGUUUAUAUAUAUUAAUAAUAGUUAGAAAAUAUUACUUAUCAUAUAAAUUUUAUUUGAACUUAUUCAAUAAAUUCUUUCAUGUAUUAAUAUUAUUUUUAAAAAAAAAUCAUGAUUUUGGUUUAGUGUUUUUUGAGAAGGUGUUUCAAACUCCUAUUUAGAUUAUAUAUAUUUUUUAAAAGAAAUAUUAUAUAAAAUAUUUCAUAACUUUAUGUGUGAUUAUAAUUAAAUUUAUUAGAAAAUUAAUGAAAAUAUCUCUAUAAAUAUUUUAGGUCAUGGAAAGAAAAAGUUAUGAGAGAGAUAAGAUAGAGAUGUGAGGAAGUGCGAGAGACAUAUGAUGGAAUAAAAUAGUUCAUUAGGGUGGAGAUGUAAGAAAGAGUGAAAAAUAAAACCAAAGUUUAUAUUGACACUUUCACUGGUACAACAAGUGAUAUCAAAGUUUCAUAUUUGAAAGUUUUUAAUUUUAAAAUAAAACCAACUUCUUAGUUACAAGGUAAAACAAAAUGUCCUAGGAGGCUCUACGAGUUUAACAUGAAUAAAAUUAAAAAUAAAAUAAAAAAAUCUCUUCUUUAUGCUUUUUCUUUGCCACUUUACCUUUUUGGGCCCUUUCGGUGUAAGCCCACAACUUGGAAGGUCGCAUCUCCAUAUGUUGUGGGUCAAUAUGUUUGUAAGGAGAAUAAUUUCAAAGUUUAUUUACGGAUAGUAAAAUCAUUUUCUAUAAAAUAAAAUCAUUUUAUUUUAUUUUUUAGAAAACUUAAGUAGAUUUUUUGCGGUUAAAAAAAAUAUUUCUACCCUUCAUAGUUGGAUUGGAUAUUCAGUUGAAAAAUAUAUGAAGUUUUAAAUAAUUUUUAUUGAAUUAUAAUUGGUUUGUCAUUCUUUUUUUAAUUAUUUUUUAGAAAAACAUUCAAACAUGGGCGUUGGAGUACAAAAAUAAAUAAAUAAAUAAAUAAAAGAAAAAAAAAGACAGUGCUGCAAGUUGAAUGUCAUCUAACUUCGGUUGCAUCUGAACACCCUCUCCUAAGUUGAAGAAAAACUGCAAGACAAAGCAUGUCGGUGGUAGUCUUUUAUGGCAUAUGCUUUGUUUGUUCAUACCUGGAUUGGAAAAUAAUUGUGACCAAACGUGUACGGUGCCUCAAAAUAAAAAAUAACAAAAAAGGAAAGAAAAGAAAGGAACAAUUCGAUACCUUUCCUAUGAAGCUGAUAAUGUGAACAAGACUUUCUGCUUUUUUUUUUUGCCUGUUUUGCUUUAUCUUUUCUCUUUUGUCGUUUAACACGCUUUCCUCACCACUUCCUUUAGCAGAGGGAGUAUAUAUUUUCUUGCUUGUGGGGAGACUUGGCCUGAAAUAUUUCAAGUUUUGCGGGGAGACUUGGCUUCAGUUACAUUCACUUGCCACGGCGUUUAGUUAUUAUCAUUGAUCAUUCUCUUUUUCAGAUUUCGCAGGUGUAUUCUUCAAUUAUAGCUAUUUUCAGAUUUGUAGUUCUCUUUGAUAAUACAAAGAGCUAACAUUUUGUCUCUGAAUUUCUUUGGUUUUGUUCAUUAAGUUUUUGAAUUAUAUGAAUCAAUUGUGAAACUUUCCCUUUCCUACAGGAUAAUUCAGACUUGACAACUCAUAUCCCAAGCUUCAUCUCUCUACUGCUCGGUAAUGGCUUCUGCUGCUGCUUCUUCUUCUUCUUCUCAAACGCGCUAUGAUGUGUUCCUCAGCUUCAGAGGAGAAGACACCCGCAAUAACUUCACUGCCCAUCUCUAUCACGCCUUGUGCCAGAAAGGAAUCAACACUUUCAUCGAUGAUGACAAGCUUGAGAGAGGCCAAGUCAUAUCUCCUGCCCUUGUUGCAGCUAUCGAAAACUCCAUGUUUUCAAUAGUUGUUUUGUCGAAAAAUUAUGCAUUCUCUAGAUGGUGUUUACAGGAAUUGGUGAAGAUAGUAGAGUGCAUGAAAAGCAGGAGACAGAGGGUUGUCCCAAUUUUCUACAAUGUCGAUCCCUCGGAUGUGAGAAGACAGAGGGGCAUAUUUGGAGAAGCAUUGGCUAAACAUGAAGAGAACUCGGAGAACAUGGAGAGGGUGCAGAGUUGGAAGGAUGCUCUCACUCAAGUUGCAAAUUUAUCCGGUUGGGAUUCAAGAAAUAAGUAAUUUUCUAAAGCCUUUUUCACUCUUAUUUUUAUUCUUUGAUUUUUAACAUUGUCAAUUUAAAUGCUCUUGCUAAUUCACCUAUUACUUUUUACAACAUAGUGGGUAUAAGAAUAUUGCAUAUAUUAAAUGAUUGAAGGACUAGGUACAUAGAAUUUAGAACUUUUUUAGUACACUUCUUUAAGGGUAGAUUUGAGAUUGACUACGUCUUCACACAUCUCUUAUUUCCUUUAUUUUUAUUAUUUUUUUAUGGAUAACUAGACUCAUUAUAUGUUUAUUCUUCAAAUAUGGCAGGAAUGAGCCUCUACUAAUCAAGGAAAUCGUUACAGAUAUUUUGAAUAAAUUGUUAAGUACAUCUAUUAGUGAUACUGAAAAUCUGGUUGGAAUAGAUGCUCGCAUGCAAGAAAUAGAGAUGCGAUUAUGUUUGGGGUCUGAUGAUUUUCUGAUGGUAGGAAUUUGGGGCAUGGGCGGAAUAGGGAAAACAACCCUUGCUAGAGCUAUUUAUAGAAAAAUCACUUGUCAAUUUGAAGCAUGUUGUUUUUUUGAAAAUGUUGGGGAGGAUUUGGCAAAGGAGGGUUUAAUAGGAUUGCAACAAAAGUUUCUUGCUCAACUAUUGGAGGAACCAAAUCUAAAUAUGAAGGCACUCACAUCUAUAAAGGGAAGGCUCCACUCAAAGAAGGUCCUUAUUGUUCUUGAUAAUGUGAAUGAUCCAAUAAUAUUGAAAUGCUUGGUUGGAAACUAUGAUUGGUUUGGUCGAGGAAGUAGAAUUAUUAUAACCACUAGGGAUAAGCGUUUGUUAAUUUCACAUGGAGUACUCAAUUAUUAUGAGGCUCAGAGAUUUAAUUAUGACGAAGCUUCUGAGUUCCUUACACCCUAUUCAUUAAAACAUAAAAUUCCUUGUGAUGAUUUCAUGGAGGUUUCAAAAGAAGUAAUUGGUUAUGCUCAAGGCCUCCCAUUGGCUCUAGAAGUUUUAGGUUCCUUUUUAUUUAGCAUGACCAAAGAAGAAUGGAGAAAUCAAUUAGACAAACUGAAAAGUACUCCUAAUAUGAAAAUUCAAGAAGUACUUAAAGUAAGUUAUGAUGGGCUAGAUGAUAAGGAGAAGAAUAUACUACUAGACAUUGCAUGUUUCUUUAAAGGAGAGGAUAAAGAUUAUGUAAUGGAAAUACUAGAUGGUUGCGGCUUUUUCUCACUUAGUGGAAUACGAGCUCUCAUUGAUAAGUCACUCGUAACUAUUUCUUGGAGUAAUGAGAUAAUGAUGCAUGACUUAAUACAAGAAAUGGGUAGGGAAAUUGUUCGUCAGCAAUCCCUUGAAGAGCCUGGUAAACGUAGCAGAUUAUGGUUUCAUGAAGAUAUCAAUGGCGUAUUGAAAAAAAAUACGGUAAGAGCAAAAAAAAUAUAUGAAAUUUAUUUUAUGUAGCACAAAUUAAGAUAAGAAAUCAAGAAUUGUUUUACUUUAAAUAUUUAUAUGUUGAUAAACUUUAGUAAGAUUUUAUGCAUUAUGCAUGCUUUUCACUUACUCUAUUUCUUGGCCUGUAGGCAACUGAAAAAAUUGAAGGCAUAUUCCUCAACUUGUCUCAUUUAGAAGAGAUGUUAUACUUUACCACUCAAGCCCUUGCAGGGAUGAAUAGACUUAGAUUGCUCAAAGUCUAUAACUCUAAAAAUAUUUCAAGAAACUUCAAAGAUACCUCCAAUAUGGAGAAUUGCAAAGUGAACUUUUCCAAGGACUUUAAAUUUUGUUACCAUGAUUUGAGGUGCCUAUAUUUUUAUGGAUACUCUUUGAAAUCAUUGCCCAAUGACUUCAAUCCAAAGAAUCUUGUUGAGCUCAGCAUGCCUUAUAGUCGCAUUAAACAACUUUGGAAAGGAAUCAAGGUAAGAUCAUGAUCUAUUCAUGUUAUUUUCUUUAGAGUAUGCAAUGUUUACAAAAGCUAAAUUUAAAGUCAAGUUUCUUUUCAUUGCAGGUUCUUGCAAAUUUGAAAUUCAUGGAUCUCAGUCACUCUAAGUACUUAAUAGAAACUCCAAAUUUUCGGGGAGUCACCAACCUCAAACGGUUAGUUUUGGAAGGAUGUGUGUCUUUACGUAAGGUGCACUCAUCACUUGGAGAUUUGAAGAAUCUCAUUUUCUUGAAUUUGAAAAACUGCCAAAUGCUAAAGAGCCUUCCAAGUAGCACUUGUGAUUUGAAGUCUCUUGAAACGUUUAUUCUUUCUGGUUGCUCCAAAUUUAAAGAAUUUCCUGAGAACUUUGGGAGCUUAGAAAUGUUGAAGGAACUUUAUGCAGAUGAAAUUGCUAUAGGAGUACUUCCCUCCUCUUUUUCUUUCUUAAGAAACCUUCAAAUAUUAUCCUUUAAGGGAUGUAAAGGACCAUCAUCUACGCUAUGGUUGUUGCCAAGAAGAAGUUCAAAUUCCAUUGGUUCCAUAUUGCAACCUUUGUCAGGUUUACGCUCUUUAAUAAGACUAAACCUCAGUAACUGCAAUUUAUCGGAUGAACCAAACCUUAGCAGUCUUGGCUUCUUAUCAUCGUUGGAAGAGUUAUAUUUAGGUGGGAACGACUUUGUUACUUUGCCUUCAACCAUCAGUCAACUUUCUAACCUAACGUUGUUGGGGUUGGAAAAUUGUAAAAGACUACAAGUACUUCCAGAGCUUCCAUCAAGCAUAUAUUAUAUAUGUGCAGAAAAUUGCACAUCAUUAAAAGAUGUCUCAUAUCAAGUACUUAAGUCACUACUUCCAACUGGCCAACACCAAAAGCGCAAGUUCAUGGUGAGUUCUCUCUAUAUCCUAUAUAUCGUUGCUUUAACUAUUAAAAAGAAAAGGCCUUGUAAUAAGUUGUGUGUUUUAUUUUUGUAAUUCCUGAGAUCUUGUUAAAGUAUGCAUGAGAGAUAUGGAGACAGUUUGUUAUGUUUCCUUUUUUUUUUUUUUUCCUUAUAAAAAGAAAUUAAAAUUUAAGUUGAAAAAAGAAAAGUGUAUUCAAAUAAUACAUAAUUUAGUAAUAGAUGUUGCAUGAAGGAAACCAAACCAACAAUUUCUAUCGAUCAACAUCCUAAUCAUUUUCAUUCUACAGGUUCCCGUUGUGAAACCGGAUACAGCCUUAGCGGUUUUGGAAGCAUCUAAUCCUGGGAUUAGAAUACCACAUAGGGCAAGUUAUCAGAGGAUCGAUCCCGUUGUGAAACUGGGUAUAGCCACAGUGGCUUUAAAAGCAUUUAUUCCUGGGAGUAGAAUACCAGAUUGGAUAAGGUAUCAGAGCUCAGGGAGUGAAGUAAAAGCAGAGCUACCUCCAAAUUGGUUUAAUUCCAACUUCCUGGGUUUUGCUUUUAGUUUUGUCACUUGUGGCCAUUUCUCUUGCCUCUUCAUGUUGAAAGCGGAUGUCUUGUUUGAUUGGACAUCCAGGGACGAUUCUUCCUCCGUUGAUAUCAUUAUUGUCGAAAUGAUUUCCUUUAAGAGAAGGUUGGAGACGGAUCACGUGUGCCUGUGUUAUGUACCACUUCCCCAGUUGCGGAAUUGCUCUCAAGUGACUCACAUCAAGGUAUCAUUUAUGGCAGUCUCCAGGGAGGGUGAGAUUGAAAUUAAGAGGUGUGGGGUUGGUGUAGUGUACAGUAAUGAAGAUGGGAAUCACAACAAUCCCCCAAUGAUCCGAUUCAACUCUAUCUCCUCUCCUCCUCCUCCUCCUCGUAGUAAGUCAACCGUUGUCCUUGAAGAAAUCCAUGAGGAGGAACCUAGUGGAAAUGGGUGCUCUAAUGUUGAUGGCUCAGAAGAAGUGAGGAGGAACCUAGAACUGCUACUGUCUGCUCUGAGGAUCGGUCUGAAUCAGAUAUUCGGCCACAGAAAUGCUUGAAAUGCAGGCAUUAAUGAGGACAUCCCGUGAUCAGGAGAAACAGACCAGAUAAAUGCUUAAUAUGCACCCAAACCUUCCCAUAACAUCUCUUGGUGGGUUGUGUGUUUCUUUUCUUUUAUUUUCUUUUCUGCUGUUCUUUCUUAUCUGAUUUUGAGUAGAUGUCUUAAUUAAGACCAGUUAGAACUGUUUAAAGCAAGAAUUAAAAGAUCCGGUCAUACUGUUCGAAAUUAGAUUUGCUUAGAAUUACUCUCCCAUCAAUUCCUGAAACAAUUUGAUGAAUAAGUGAUAUUGUUUCUCACACAUCUUCAAUUUCAUGUGUUAAGACACAAAUGAUUGCAUAUCACUAGAAUCAUUGUGGAGUCCAUUUGUAUUUAUGCAUUCUCCUUCACUAAUCAUGGCGACUAAUCACAGAGUCCCCAGGUCUGUCUCUAGGUUGAUCAUCUUCAGUAGACAUACCAAUGCCUCCAUAUUGCUUUUGCAGUGGGUAAUGCAAUGCAAUUAACUGGGGUGAUGUAUUGACGAGGGGAUUAUUCUAGUGAAGGUGGAGGAGCAGAAGCGGAGGCACGAGGAGAAUAGAGAAAAGGUCUUGUAACAGAACCCAAUCUUCCAGAAUCUAAUUAUUGUUGCAUUGUUUUUCUUCAUUCUACGUAACUAAAGGAUUCACAGUACUCUAAAUUGUUAGAUUCUUCACUAGAUACAUUUGUCACAGGUUUCACUACUAUGUGAAGUAUCAGUUGCCAUGCAGCCAAGUGACUGCAUGCUUCAAAUUAAACCUCAGCAGAACCCUGACCACCCUUACAUUUGAUUGCAUUCCUUUUACUGUCUCUACCUUGCAUCGUACUUCACAAGUCUACAUUUGAUCUCACACUCUCUUGCUUGGCCUCACUUCUAUUUGGUUAUAAUUUAAAUAUGGCAUUUCUUGUCUGACUUCCUUUCUCCAUUGUAGAACUGUUGAUUUUAAGUAGGUCAUAAGUAAAUUUGAGUCAUUGCCUUGUUUUUUGAGUUGAUUUCUAUGCGUCACCAUGCAACUUGUUGCUUUUUUUUUUUUUUAAAAUUUUUUUUUUCACAUGUUGUUAGUAUGCUUAAGAAUGAUUAUAAGUAAGAAUUUAGAAUUAAAAGAAAAAAAAAAGAACUAGUGAGAAAAUAGAAAAAAGUGGGAGUCAGUUGUGGUAGUGAAUUUGACAAAAAGUUAAAAUUGGAGUAUGUUUAUGCUUGAAAGGGAAAUUUGGUAUCAGCAUCCAACAAUGCUUGUAAUAUUAUUUGUUAGUAAAUUAACUAACAUGGUGUUUUAAUAUAUUUUCUGUUUUUUAUUUUAAAAAAGAAAAUAGUAGAAAAUUUUGAAAGCAAUUUUAAAUUUUUUAUAUUUUAUACUAGAAACCUUAUAUUUUUAUAGGAGGGAUAUUCCAAUUUUUUUUUAACUAUAAUAAUAAUAAUUUCAAUAUAAAAUAUAGAAACUUUCAUAUUGAAAGAUAAUAGUUUUCAAAAAUUAUUUAAAAGAAUAUAAAUAUGAAUUACCUCAAAUAAUAGGGAAGUUUAUUUUUAUAAGAGUUUAGUUACUAAUAUUUUAUUUUUUAAAAUAAAAAAUAAGAAAAUAAUUCAAACCAUACUUAAAAUUUCAAAAUAUACUAACCAACAACAUCAAUAGAAACCAUGCAAUAUAGACUUCUUUCAUGUACCUAUGAUGGCUAGUUGGUUCUUUCUCCAACCACCCCCAACCUCUCUUUCCUUUGCACAACCAAGCCUCAUUGAACUUUGACUAAAUUAAUGGGAAGCACUUUGUCAAGCUUAUUUUUUAUACAUGGCAUAGAAAGAUCCAUUGUUGUGUGUAGUGGUUCAAUAAGUUUCUUAAUGAGGCUUUUUAUCAAGCGAUUUGCUUUCUAUAAAUUAUAUCAAUUUUUUUAAUAUAAUUAAGAAAACAAAGUUUGAAAAAAUGUAAUAAAAUAAACUAUGCAAGAUAAAUGAGACAGAAUAAGUAUGACAAAUUCUCAAAUUUGUUCUAUUUAACUUUUUAAAUAAGGUAAAGACAGAGAGCUAACUCACCUUAAAUCCACCCAAUUACAUCUCUACCAAGGAGUAACAUAAUAAUAAUAUUUGAUGAAAUUAAUAAUAAUAAAAAAUACUAUCAGGAUAAUAACAUUAAUACCAAUAUUAAUAUAAAAUUAAUAAUAUUCAUAUUAUAAGCACCAAUGAUAAUAGUAAUAAUUUUGGUAUUUUCUAUAUAUCAAUGAGUCAAAUAUCAUUGACUUUAAUUAUAUAAUAAGUUAAAAGUGGACUUUGACCUAAUUAUAUAGAAAGUUUAGGGCUUAUAAGCAUAAUUGUCUUCUUUUUUAACAAACUUUUUUUUUUAGCGACUUUGGCAUGAAAAAUAAAAUUAUUAAAGGAUUUGGUGUAAGACUGUCAAAUGAAUCCUUUUUUGUGAUAUGUUUCUUUGUCUUUAGCAUCAAUUGAACUAAUGUCUAUUUAAAUUGACAUUUGAGAAGUCAAAAUCUCCCUUUUAAACUUAAUAGAAGUUUAUAUGCUUUUUUGGCAAAUUGGUAGAAUUGUUGAUUGCUUUUGUGUCGUACACUCAAAAUUUUUUACGAGUUCAUUUAAACACCACCUGGAGUUAGCAUAAUUUGUCGAGAAAAUAAUAAUGAAAAUCUUUGAUUCUUCAAUGGCUCUCAAAAGAUCUGAUGCAAUAUCUCCUCCUUUCUCAAGUUCUUCAUCAUCUCUGAAAGAAUGAACUCCAUAUGCAACUAAAGUUGUAUAGAGAUGAUCGGUGAAAUUUUUGCGAGUGUCUUCACCUCUAAAACUUAUAAACACAUCAUAACUAUGAGGAGUAGAAGUAGAAGAAGAGGCUUUCUGGGUGCUGGUAGAGGCCAUUUUGGAUUGUUUGUGCUGCACCUGCAAAAGUCUGGGAAAGAGAGAGAGAGAAGGUCUUUGGCAGUGAUUGAAAUGUCGAUUUUUAUCCUUGAAAUUUCGCCGAUAUUUCAGUCAUCGGUGAAACUCGAUACGACAUUGAGGGCCGAUAACCGGUUGGAAGGAAUUUCGCUCAAGUAUCACGAGUGUUGGAAGUAGUGUUGGUAACAACUUAAAGAGCACUUGAGCAGCCUUACUGCUUGAAGCGACACUGGAUGUAACUUAUAGCACUUAAGUGAUAGGUGCGAAGGAAAGGAGCACUUGAGCGCUGGUGACAACACUCAAGCAUUCAAAGCAGAACAGAAGCAACCAAGUUUAAAUGAGAAACCUUUCAAGGAGCUUAGAAUCCCAAAAACAAAUCAAAAUAGAAUAUAUAUAUAUGUGUGUGUGUGUUUCAAAAUAUCAUAGGGUAUAAUGAUAGUGCAGAAACUUGUAAAAUUAGAUUGAAAAGUAAUAUAUCAAGUAAAAUGGCUAGAUAAUAUAGAUUAAUAAAACAAGAAUGAAGUUUUAGCUCCAAAGAACAAAGUUAAUCCCAAUUUUAGUUUAGAAACUCAAUGUAUAAUUGUCAAUGUAUAAGAUGAUCAACAUAUAAACAUAAGUAUUGACAUUCAAGGGAAUACGACUUAAUGUCUAGUUUUAUAUUUCGAAAUUGAUCUCUUUGAAGAAAUCAAGUCUUGUCUUUAGUCAAAUUAAAAUCAUAUCCAGUCAAUUUGUUCUAAGACCAUUGGACUUCUAUUUAACAUAGUCUUGUUAAUAUAUAAACAACACAACUUAACUUCCCUUUAAUUUGAUAUCAUCUUUUUUUCUUUUGAAAGUGGAUGCAUCAUAUACCAUGAUCACAUUUGGUUUUUCUUUAUUUUAUUCACGGUUGCCUUUAUAUCCACUUUAGGGGUGUUUCCAAAUGUUGUAAGUGAAUAGCAUAAAUUUAAUGAACGAAUCUUAGAAAGUAUAUAAGAGUUGAACUUGGCCAAGGAUUCAAAUUUUGCACUGACUCACUUUGAAAAACAAUAUAAUAAUAUUAGUCAAACAAGGUAUGUGGACAAUAAAAUUUAGGCAUGACAAUUGAUCCUUCCAAAGAAACCAAAGUCUACUUUAUUAGGUAAACUUAAGAAGUCUUCCUCUUAAUCAAUCACAAAGAUUAAUUAUCAAGAAUCAUGGGCCUCAAUAGUGAUGAACAAAUAUCUAAGGAAAAUUAACAUCAUAUCUUGUACAUUUAAUAUAUUUCAUUAGGUCAUAAAUUUGAGAUAUUACAUAUCAUCCUAAUAAGGCAAGUAAGUAAACAAUAAUCAUGUGCUUAAAGAUGAUAUAAAUAAGGCCAAAGGAAACAAAACCAAAAAAUAGACAAUAAGAAACAAACCUUUGAAGCCUAUCAAAAAAGAUCUUAAUCGAUCAAGCACAUGCCUAAAGAUUUCCUAAGAAAUUCAAACCUAAGAGAAUCCAAGGGUUUAGUAAAGAUAUUUGUCAAUUGAUGUUCAGUGGGGACAAACUCCAGAGAAACAACCUUAUUUUCAACUAAAUCCCUAAUAAAGUGAUGACGAAUUUCAAUAUGUUUAGUAUGAGAAUGAAGAAUGAAGAAUAACUUGAAUUUAAACAAUAAACAACCUUAGACGGAAUGUUUAUUUUUUAUAUAUAUCAUGAUGUUUAACUUUCAUAUCUUAUUAUUUUCAUAUACUACAUGCAAUGUUUAUGGAUCUCAAGCCUCUUAUUUGUUUAUACAUAAAAUUAUAUGGGUUUAGCACUAAUGAAUUGAUAAAACCUUACAUGAUUGUGUCAUAAAUUAUGCAAAUUAUGCAACAUUAGCCUGAAACUAAUGUCAAUACAAUGUCAAGGCUCAAAAACUUGAUUAAAAGGUCUCAAAAAGUUACUAUUUUAUUAUUAGAUAGAACAAAAUUCUACAUGAAUAAUGCUUAAGAUGCCUAAAGAAUCAAUAAAGAUAUCAGUUCUAGUGGAUAUCAUAUUAUAAUUAUGAUGAAUUAGAAGUUCCUUGAAAUAAAUUAGUAUAUGUUUUUUAAUGACCAACUUGGUCUCCUAGGAUUGACAAUAGUUGUCCUUGAAAAAUGGGUAUUACUUUAAUACCACUUGAAUAAUAACCAAAAGUCCACUAAAAAAUGCCCAGAGAGGGGUGAAUAGGAGAUUUUAAAAAUUAUAAAUAAAUUAUGUCUAAACUUUAUUUUAAGAGAUAUCAGGGAUGUCUUGGAUAAUCAAAUAUGAGUUCACUAUAAAUAAAUGUAUGAUUUUUAUGGUUAAUUGAUAUCCAAAGAUUAUUCAGGGAUAAAAUAAUAUAAUUAUCAAUAUCGGAGAUAGAUAUUGAGAUAGGUUAGGAAUGAUAAUAACCAACAAAAUAACCAACCUCACAAACUCAAUAACAUUCUCAACAAACCAAACAAAUUAUAUAUUAAAUGAAGUUAGGAAUAACAAUAAUUUGUUAUAGGUAUAGCCACUAUAACCACCAAUAUAACCAACCUAACAACUCAACAGUCAACUAACCAAUCAAUCAUAAGGGUAUCUCAUUAACAACCUAACUAAUCAAUUCAAGAUAAUCAACAUUAUCAACCAGAAUAUAACUAGGAAUAAAUAGAUAUGCACUUUUUAGGAAAACCCUACAAUAUAUUAGGAUUAAUCAAAUUAACAUAUUUUAGGCAAUUCAAACAUAAUGUCAAAUAUAAAGAUAUAGACAAUGGGGUACAAGAUUUUUACGUGGAAAACCCUUACAAACUUGUGAAGAUAAAAAACCACAAGGUCUAAGACCUAUAAAUUAAUCUAAAUCCACUAUUUGAAAUCAAGUUACACAAAUUUACCUAGCCUUUUUACCCUAAAGACUUACUUUUCAAAGCUUACAACUUGAUCCACAUCCACGAUGCAACAACUCCCUGUUGCUCCCUAGUAGAUCCUUUGGCUACUCCUAAGGGAUUAAGGUUUUCAACCAACAAUUCAAAUAUCCAAGUCCUUGAAUGAGAUAUUAGGAAUGAUGUGACAAUUAAGCUUUCUUCACAAGGAGUCCCUCUUUAAAGAAUAAGAGGUUUCCCAAACUCUAAGAUCUCUACGAUCUCAACAAUCUCCAAUCUCUAUGAUCUCCAAUCGCUAACCCUCAAUGGGUUAUAAAGGAGGUAUUUAUAGGCAAAAAUCAUAAGAGUUUCGGUAUCUAAAGUUUCCAAAUUAAAGUUCAAAUAAAAUUCAUCCAAAAUAUGUUUCUAAACUCGAUAGGACUAAUAUAACCAUUUGAGUGGACUUGGACCACUUGAGCGAUCCUUACUACUUGAGUGGGUUGACCACUUGAGCGGUCUCUGCUUCUUAAAAAAUCAUUUAAAAAACAUUUUAAGUCCAAAAAUGACACUGGACCUCCUUAGUGAUUGAAAAAUAGGGAGGAAGUGGUACCUCCUUAGUGACACGGAGUCUGAGUCAUAUAGGAGAAACCACAUGUUUCAAAAAAAAAAAACAAAAGAGUUAGUGAGUAGAGGAAAUAGAAAAAUGCCAAGUUUAAACAAAAAAUGAUGUCUAUAUAUGAUGUAUCAUCAGUAAUACAUCCAAUCCCAUAGUAUAAAACAUCAACACAUGGAAUUAUGUAUAAUAUAUAAAGACAAAAAGUAAAGAGAUGAUCAAGUAAUGGUAGGGUCCUUUGGAGCUGAUGCAUCUGUGGUGGCCUCUUGAGUGGGUUGGAUCAGGACUUUAACCUCUGUUCUGAUAAUCUCCUUAGGUGGCAUAGUCUCCUCAACUGGAGCUAUGGGCUUUGAUGGUUUUAAGGAGGUCUGAAAUGGAGUGAGAGGCUUCGUGUGUGAUCUCAGUGAGAGGGCUCUCCUCUUUAGAUGCAUGGUUGCGUGGUUUGUCUUCAAACGGCCAUAACUUUUUCGUUUCAACUCCAAAUCGUGCACCGUUUAAAGCAUUGGACUCCUGACUUCCCAAGAUUUGAAAUGACAUAUGGUAUGCACAAUUUGAGCUCCAGGAAGUUCUUCAAAAAUGUGUCCAACAGUAGCGAAAUGCAACAUUUCCGUUCUGAUUUUGAUCAUCCAAAAACCUAUAUUACAUCAAAACAAAUUAGAAUUAAAGCAUUGAAAUCAAAAUUAAAACAAGUAAUAAACAAAACAAAAAGAUAUGGAUUAGCUAGUCUUUAAAAAGACUAAGUCCAUUAAAAAAUUUGAUCCUGAUUUAGCUUGCCCGGAUCCCAUAUGAAGUUUGCAUCCCUCACUUGAGACUUGGUUUGUAUGAUUUUUCCAUACAAAGCUUGGGGGAAAGGUGGAGGGAUGUAAUUCUUCAUAAUUUCUUCCUUGAUGACUAUCCUUUGUGGUUUUCCUUGUAUAUUAACAUCAUAGCCAUCUUUCUCUAUCCUUUUCCCCUUUUUCUUUCCUUUGAUUUCCUCCCUCUUUUAUUUCUCUGUUUCACUCUCUACCUCAUGCUCUAGCUUGGAUGUGGGUAGAUCAACCUCUUUACCACUCCUCAAAGUGAUAACCGUUUUAACUUCCUUCACCAUUGAAGAUUCUCCCUUUUGAGUCUCCACUUCAUGGAUACCCUUGGAAUUUUGAUGAGGUUGAGAAGGAAAGUUUCCUUUUUCUUGCACUUUGUUGAGGUUGGCAAACCAUGAGAUUGAAUAUUGGAGGUUAUCUAUCUUUUGAGAUAAAUCAUUUUGCACUCCAUCCAUCUUUUUGUUCAAUGAACUCUCUACACUGUCAAUUCUUUGACUGAGUUGAGAGUUGAUGGAUUUUUGUUCUCCAAUAAAAUCUCCCACAACCUUGCUGAGAUUCAUUAUAGCUUGAUGAAGUUUCGAGGCUUGCUGAGGUGCUUGAGCAGGUUGCUGGUACCGAGGUGGCUGUGGUUUCCAAGAGAAAUUUGGAUGGUCCCUCCAAUUGGAAUUGUAGGUGUUGCAAUCACCAAACAUUUCUCUCACCAUUGGAAUGGUAGGACACUGAUCCACCAAGUGCUCAAAAGAUCGACAAAUGGAACAAGGCAUAGGUUGCAAUGGUGUCUGAGAGAUGGCUUGCACUUCUUGCAUCUUCUUCAUUUCUAGCUCUUCCAAUCUCCUUGCCAUAGCUGCAAUCUUUGCCUUCAUGUCUAUGCCGUCAUUCAAAAUAUACAUCUCAGCCUUAGUAUUAGGUUGAGACAUCGUUCUUCCCAUAUUUCGAGCAUUCGGUUUAUCCCAUCCUCUUGAAACUUCAGCCACAUAUCUCAUGAAGUUCAUGGCUUCCUAUGCUAUCUCGUAUUCAAUAUGGCAUGCACAACUAGCAAUUUAUGAAUUAAAAACAGAGAAAAUAAAAGAAAACAAAAGAAAAACAAUUCUAAGAAAAAAAAUUAAGGUAAACUAAAAACUAAAUAAAAAGUAUACUAAAAUAUGAACAAAGAAAAAGAAACAAAUAAAAAGAGUUAGUAAAAAGAAAAGAAAAGUCACCAAACUUGUGAUGAAGAUCACAAGUACUCUGAAAAGGUCAUAUCACUGUAAAGUGGUACCAUCCCCGGCAGCAGCGCCAUUUGAUUCUUUCCCAAUUGGUGUCUCAGCUGAUUCAUGUCCUCUCAAUGGUCCCUGACAGUGGUGCCAUUUGAUUCAUGUCCAGUUGGUGUCCCUUGAUUGUGGUCCUCAGGGAGUAAUCAACAAAAUUUAUAACCUAUUACACCAUGUACUAGGAUAGCCUUAGCUAGCAUAGCAUAGUGGCUCUAGGGUCGUUCACUGGGAUGGGUUUUCACUCUACAAUUGAUAUUAAUUCAAAGUUGAAUUGGUGCCUUUUCAUUUUAAGGUUAGCUUUAAAAGAAAACAUAAAGAUGUUUAAAUGAAAAAGGUUUGGUUUUAAACUAACCAAAAAUAGUAACUGAUUUUACUUACAAAGAAAAGUGUUUCUUGGAGUUUAGAUCACUGGGCUCAGAUUCCUUGUACAAAAAGGGAGUUUCGGUCACUUGUUUCUUUCCCUUGCAUUAGAGAAUUAACAUAUAGUUAAUUCUCUAACCGGUGUGGUACAGAUGUUUCCCUUUAAUGGGUUCAAACACUAAAUCCCUCUCACUGAUGCAAUUUGCAAUGGCUCGUGCCUCUCACCUAGCAUUUGCCAUUCAAGGUGAUCUUUAACCUUGGAUUACCCAUCAAAAGCUCGCAAAAGAUAACUAAUGGAUGUCUCCUUGGAGUCCAAAAGCUUACCAAGUGUUGGCUAUUCUAGAAAAUCCUACCUUCGAGUCACUUCCUAAAAGCUCGCAAGAGGUAAACUAGUGCAUUUCCAUGGACGGAGAUCACUGGCCUUACCAAGUGUUGGCUUAAGUAACUUGAAGGCGUUUUAAGUUAACUAAAAAGAUAAAAACCAUUAUCGGGUCACACUUUCUCUUCAUUAAAAACUAAAACAACAAAACUUCCAAUUUAUGCAUGAGGAACUUACCCGGCUUUCUUCAAUCCAAGAGACGAAGAGCCUAGCCUCUCAACCUCUGAGGAAAAAUCCUCAGAGUUUGAUUGGCUAGAAAUAAGAAGAACGAGAAAACAAAAAUAGGAAAAACAAAGCAAGUGCUCCCUUUGUCAAUUUCACAUAUAUUAUCUAUAUAUCUAUCUAUGUUCUUUACAUUGGUUCAAAGAUAUAUAUAGAGAAGAUAUUUUCUAAGAAAUAUCCCAGUAAUAUCUUUGACUGAUUACAAGGAGAAAAUAGAAAUUUACACAAAAUAUCUUGAGAGAAAAAAUCUAACUUAGUCGGUGGCAAAUAUCGGGAAGCUUCAAGAGAACACUGCGGCACUGUGCAAAAAUCUGGGUAAUCUGAAAUGUCGGCCGCGGAUGCUCUCCGGGUGAGUGCUAUCAGAGGAUCUGGAUAUGUCUGACCGGGGAAUUUGAAACGUCUUCCUCUCCCAUCCGGAUGUGAGAUAUCCCACGCCGCAAGGCUAUCCGGAUUCCCCAAGCGGAAAGGCAACGCAAUGCUAUCCGGAUCCCCUCAGGGUUCUACACACGACACUCGUAAUAAUCACACCCGGACGAUAGCAUAUCCUAUCCGGAUAUGUUGUCCGAAUGGAAAACAUUGACUAAAGUGAGCAAGCCUUGCUACUUCAUUCCGAAAGCCUACCACAGCUCACGUUCCGCCGCCCUCCGAUGGUGUGUCCGGACGCCCUGUCCGGACAUCUUUUGCCAAGGAUUCCAAAGAAUCUCUCCUCAAUCUUGGAUUGCUUUGGUGAUCAAAAAGCUAUCAAAACACCAAAACUUAACACAAUUUGAUUAGAAUUGAUUGCAAGGGUCCUUAAUAUGUUAAUUGGGUUAAAAGGUGAUAACUAUUACUCAAAAGUGUUUAUAAGAGUUAAUUACAAGCUAUGAAAUAACACUUUUUGAGUAGUAAUCAAAAAGCCCUUGAAUAAAUAGCAUAGGUACAACAUUCCCUAAAAAGGAAGAUGGUUCAAAAAAGGCAAUAACCCCCUGAAAACUAAAAAUAGCGAGAUCUCCAUAGGUCAUAUAAAAUGGAAACAAAAUAAGGUCUUUUUUCCAAAGUAACUUAACGUCAUUAAAAAUGACGAGGAUCUCAACUGAAAAAAAAUGGUAUAAAUCUAUUAAUCAAAGUGGAAACAAGUAAUCCAAAUAGAUCUAAACUCAUUAACAAAAUGAGAAACAUUAAGACCUAAAGUCUAAUGCAUGAAGAUAUAUGAAGAUAUAAAAAUAAGAGAAUCUGAAGUCUAAAUCCUAUUGAAUAAAUGAGUAUUUGUAUUAAAAUGCUAUAAAAAAAAAUGAGAUCAUGAGACAUUAAAUAUUACUUUUAGCAUGAAGUUUAUAGAAGUAACCAUAUAUCAACUCUCAUAAUAACUCAAUUAUGUAGUAUUCCUAGAAAUACAUAAUACAGAUUUUCUAAAUGUAGCUAUAACUUAUUUAUAUGGACUCAUAAAUAUUAAUAUACAUAUAAAUCCUUGAGGGAUUUUGAAUGUUUGAGAAAAUAAUUUAAAAUCUCAAGUGUGAAAUUCCUAAAGAAUUUAAAAUGCUUGAAUUAAAUUAUUUAAAACCUCAUAGUAUGUAUUUAAUCAAGCUAUAAUGCUUCUUAUAUGGAUUAAAGCAAUUUGGAUGUAUGUGGUACAAUCGCCUUAGCAAAUAUCUUUUAAAAGAAGGGUGUAUGAAUAACCUUAUAUGUCUAUUCAUUUUCAUUAAGAGAUCAAAAAUUAGAUUUGCAAUUAUUGUAAUGUAUGUUGAUAAGCUUAAAAAACUCAUAAAAACUGCUAAUUAUUUGAAGGGAGAAUUUAAAUUGAAAGAUUUAAGGAAAACAAAAUCUAUCUUGCCUUGUAGAUCGAGCAUCUUUCAAAUAGAGUGUUGAUCCAUCAAUCGACGUAUAUAGAAAAGAGUCUUUUAGCAUUUUCUUAUGGACAAAUCACAUCCAUUAAAUUCUUCAAUGGUAGGUAGCUCACUAGAAGGGGAAAAAAAAUUGACAUGGGUUUAUUUUAUUCAAAAGGAUUAGAGUCUCAAUUGCUUGGCUUUAGGGAUGCUAACUAUUUUUUUGAAUCCUCACAAAACUUGAUCUUGGACAUGGUAUGUAUUUACCUACGAUUAAUAAUAUCAUAAAAAUCAGUUAAACAAACAAUGACAAUCGCCUCUUUAAAUCAUUCAAAAAUAAUAGUAAUCCAUGAAGUAAGUCAUUUUAUACUCAUAUUAGAGAGUAAUGUGGACCAUUCCUCAUCAAAGAUAAUCUGACCAAGUUACAUGAAGACAAUGUUGCUUAUAUUACACAACUUAAAUGAGGAUGUAUAAAGGGUGACAAAGCUAAGCAUAUUUCCCCUAAGUCCUUUUAUACUCAUGGGCUCUAAGAAAAUGGUGAAAUUCUUGUUCAAAAGAUUCGAUCAUAUGAUAAUCAAAUAGAUUUAUUUACAAAAGCAUUACCAUCUACUACUUUGAACAAGUUAAGAUGUAACACUGGGAUGCAGAGAGUGAGAGAUCUAUAAAUUGAAGCAUUGAAAAAAGUAUGAUCAUGUCUACAUUAGGGUGGGGGGGAUAUUAAUGUCCAUACACUGUACUCUUUUUCCUUUGUCCAAAUUUUAUCUCACUUGGUUUUAUUGACAAGGUAUUUCAUGAGGCAUUGUUAAGAUCAAAUUAUUUACAAGAAAAUAUUACUUUUUUUUUUCCUUCACUAGGAUUUUCCUAUUACUUUGUUUUCCUAGUAAGGUUUUAAUAAGGCAUAUUCUUUGAUCAUUUAAAGGGGAGUAUUAUGAUUUAUAGGAUUUGGUACAAGAAUUUGUUAGGAUGGAUGAUCAUAUGUUCCUUGAUAUUUCUUAACUAUUGUUGUUUGCCUUCUCCUAAUUUCCUAUAAAAGGAGAGUUCUACUACUAAAAUUACACAGAGUUUGAUUCUCACUAUCUCUUCUUCUAUUUGUUCUCCUAUUAUUUUCUUUUUUUAUAACAUUUUUAACUUUUAUGUACUUGGAGAAAUAUGCAAGGUAGUAGUAGUACAUUUUUUAGUAUGUCUUAUGGUUUUAUUCUAUGUGUACUAACAUUUUUUUCUUUAUUAUUCAAAUAAUUUAAAAUAUCUUUUUCAUUGUUUCAUUAGUGUAAAACUCUUACUCUCACUUUUGGACAUGCUUUGGCAAUACGUUUAAUUUUAUUUCAAUUUAAUAUUCAAUCUAAUAUGUUCAAUAUUAUCCUCAACUUAAAUAUUUACUAAAAAUUUAAAAAUUCUAUGUUAUAUUUAGUAUACAAGAACACAAGAAGUUAGUUACAUGGAUAGCACAAUAUGACCCAUUCAACUUCACAAAUGGGUUAAGUCAAAUUACAUAUUAAUUGAUAAACUUGUUAACACAAUUCUAACCUGAAAAACCUAUUAACGUGAUUCUAACAAGAUGAACUUGUAAACACUGUUCUAAUUCAUUGAACAUUUAAAAUUUUAAAUUUCUAAAUGCAUUAUUUUAAAAUACCUUUUAUUUUCAGUUUUAACUUUUUAUAACCUUAAUUAAUUUAAUUAUUGAAUUUUAAUUAUAAUAUAUUUAUAAUGUAGAAGUAUAUUUAGAUUUUAAUUUUACACUUGUUUAUAAAUUUAUUUAAUGUUUUAAUUAUAAAAUAUUUUUUAAUCUUUAUAAUGAAAUAUAAAUUUUUUUUACUUAGAUUGUUAUUUACUUUUUUUAACUAUCAAAUAUUUAUAAUUAAAAAAAGAUAUUUUUAAUUUAAAUUAAUAAAUUUAUAUGAGUUAAAUGGGUCAUAAUUGGGUCAUUUUUAACACGAUUAAGCAAAAGAGGUUUAAUAGUUGGAUGGAUUGAUUGCUCAAACUUGAACAUGAUUAAUUAAUUAAAUAGGUUAGACAGGUUGAAUAGUUAAACUUAAAUAUGACUCAUUCAUUAAAUGAGUGACAAGGGUGAACAUGAGCACGAUUACACUCAAGAAAAACACCCGUUGGAUGAGAUUCAAGUGCCUCCAACUCGUAUGGGAAGCCAUGCAGGAGAUAUGUGUGAACCUCGUUCGGCAACCAAUCAUCAACCCUCCAACCCAACGAUACACUCGAAGCUCAACUUGCUAAGUACCAAGCACAGUUGGAAGAGCUAAGGGAGGCUACCAAUAGGCUCCGAAGCAAAAAUGAGGAAAUUGUGUGUACCCUAAUCGGAAGUAUCGGUCCAACAAGCCCGAAUAAAAACAUUCAGUCACUUAUUUGUGUUCGAGAAGGACUAUUCAAUCAAACAUAAUUGGAAACAAGGUUUAAAAUAUUCGAAUAUUUUAUCGAUAUUUUACUGAAUUUUCAAAUUUUCAUGUUUUAAUAUUUCAUUGAUAUUUUCAAACAUUUUAUCAAUAUUUCAUUGAUUUUUUUAUUAUUAAAUAAAUAAAUUAUAAUUAUUUUAUUUCUACAUUUGAUUUAAUUUAUUACCAAAAAUAUAAAAACAUAAUUUUCUUAAUAUGUCUUUUCUAUAUAAUCUAUAUAUUUAUUAAAUAUAAUAAAUAUAACUAUUGAAAAAAUUAUACAUAUAUUAUUGUUUAUUUGAUAUCAUUGAAACAUUUAAAUUAAAAUGGAUGAUAAUUUUAAUAUUAAAUAUAUUUUAAAAUUAAACAUAUUAUCAUAAUAAUAUUAUAAAAUAAUCUAUAAUAUAACUUAAUAAUAAAUGUACACUUCUAAAAUUUAUAUUUUUUAUCAAAAAAUAUUAUUAUCAAAUAUAACAAAUUAUAUAAUUAAUUAAUUAAUUAAUUAUUAUUAUUUUUAAAAUAACUUUAAAAUAUUUAUUUUUAUUUCUUAUAUAAUUUUUAAAUAUUUUUUUAAAUAUUUUUAGAAUUUUCAUUAAUUUAUUUAUCAUCGAUAUUUUUUAUAUAUCUUCGAUUUAUUUGAUAUAUUCGUAAAAUGAAAUACCCUUUCAUCUAUUGGAAAAGGGCCUCAUGGAAGAACCUUAGGAGCCAUCACAUCUGACACAAAUCAUAUCUGGCACCAUGGCUCGGAUAAAUCUUGAUGGAAACCUCGCACUUCAGAACUUUUGGGCAUAAACCUCGAAGGCUAAUAGGACAGCAUAUGCAGAGUAUGAGGUACGGCUCCCAAAGCGAAAAGACAUAACCAGUAGAGUAUUUUCCGAGGGAAGCAACAUGCACCGCCUAACACACACCACCUCGAUCAAUAGCAAGCAUUGUGAAGUUCCUUAAGUUUGGCUUGACAAGAGCUCAUUCCUAAGAAAAAGUUGACUCCAUGACCACCAAUCAGGGCACGCCCAAGAGAAACUAUAAAUCCUGACAAAGGAUGAGCAAGAGGGGCAGAAAAACAUGGAGAGAAAAACAUACUGAAGGGUAAGGAAUCAAGAAUUUGAGAAAAUUGGUGGCUAUCUUGGAUCAACCAUAAGAAAGUGGUCGCUAGUCUACAUUGGGGCAACCCCAAUCCUUGAAGUAGUCGAGCACCAACAAAAAUGGUUGCAUAAAUCAAUGCAGCAGCGCAAAUGCACUCAAGUGUAGUAAAGAUCGAUCACCAGCCAGUAAAGAAACCCUGCCAGCUCUCCAAUGGAUCACAUUAUCUGGGACAAACAACAAUUGUAGAUAUUAAUGACCAUGAUUCAUAUUGGGAAGAGGAAGGCGCAACCCACUCGCAAUGGGUAGGGCCUGAUCUGAGUAAGGCUACCAAUCCUGCACUAGAAAAGAACUGAGUAUAUCAUUCCCUAGGAUGCACCCAUGUGUCUAGCAAGUUGGGUGCAAUGAUUUCGGGAAUCUCACCUCGGUCGAAGCCCCUUGUCUGGGCACUGAUAAGAAUGACAUCUUGGCUUCUUAAUGACAUGUUGUCCACCUCACUCUUAGAUCGAAUUUUGAAGCAUGGUCAUCCACUAGGGUUCGUUGUGCUGAAGUUUACAAUGUAUGACGACACCUUUGAUCCGUUUGACCACUUAAUGCACUACUAACAAGUCAUAACCUUGGAUAUCGACAACCAUCUACUACUAUGCAAAGUCUUUCCGGGGAGUCCUCAUGGAUCGACUUCCUCCUAACUCUAUCUGUUGUUUCCAUGAGUUAUCAGAUGUUUUUAUGGCUCAUUAUCUUUGUUCCGCCCGCCAGUAUCAAGGGCUCGAUAGUCUUAACAACCUUAAGAUGAUGGAAUAUGAAACAUUGCGUGAUUUUAUGAAGAGGUUUGGGCAGACAGUGACAUAAAUAAAGACUUGCAACAUGGAGGCGAUAAUGUAGGUAUUCAAAAGAAGCUUCGUGCCGAGAACAUCUUUCUUCAAGUCCAUUUCGAAGAAACCACCGGAGACCAUGGAUGGCUUUCAAAAAAAUAACAAGUAUGCCAUGUUGGAAGACAUUUUGUGCACCGCAUUGUAGAAGAUUGUGGCAACCUCUCAUGCUCCCUUGAUCUGGAAAAAUGAUUUGUUUAGUGUUAAGAUGGAAGGAAAGUGCUAGAUGGGCCGGGAGCCUCCAAACGGCAAGAGAACUAAAAUAAGAGAGUCAAGCGGCCGCCCUACCCCAUAAUUCACAAAGCUUACUCUCGGCUAUAUGCAAUUGUUGCCCAUCAUUCAGAAUUUAGGCGGUUUUUAGUGGUUGCACCCCAUGAGAGGAGACUUAAGCCAACGAGAUCAAAGUCGGUUCUACGAGUAUCACAGGGAUAGGGGGCACACCACAGAGGAAUGUCGCCACCUUCAUUACUAAGUGGAGUGGUUUAUUCCAGCGGGGAUGCUUCAACAGUAUGUAGAAAAACCACAUCUGUCUAUAAGGGGAGAUCAAAACCCCUACGCAGCAGCCACAUUCGCAACCAUUAACAGUCACCGAAUGAAGGUCGGUACAUGUGAUACAUGAGGGAUCCGUGAACAAGCAGUGACAGGACAAUAAAAAAACCAAAACUAUGAUAAAUGCAGUAGAAUGAGCGACAUCCAUUAACAACAUUUAAUAUGUCUUCACUCCUAGAAGCGUCCUCCCCAGCAAAAGUUUAACGGUCUAGGAGUAACUGCAAAGCACCCGACAAAAUAUUAAAGGCCUAGGGUGCCCACAAAGCACUCCACCAAAAACUAAUGGCCUAGGAGUGCCCGUAAAACACCCGAAAAAAUAUUAACAGCCUAGGAGUGCCCGCGAAUCACUCUACCAACAACUAACGACCUAAGAGUGCCUACAAAGCACCAACCAAGCCUUAGGCCACGAAGCAUUUUGUUAAGCCUAACAUAAUGCCCAUGAAUAAUUCAACCAAGCCUAAAACAAUGCCCAUAAAGCAUUUGGCCAAGCAGAAAAGAAUGCUAGUGAAGUAUUCGACCAAACCUAAAAGAAUGUCCAUGAAGCAUUUGGCCACAAAGAAUGCCCACAAAGCAUUCCACCAAACCUAAAAAUAUGCCUAUGAAGCAUUAAGCUAAGCCCAACAGAAUGUCUGCAAAGCACUUGGCCAGACCGCCAACAAAAAGCUGAUGAGUGCCCAUGAAGCACUCGACCAUAUCACAUGAACUUAGCGGCUUAGGUAUACCUACAAAGCACUUAGCCAUGCCACUAGAAAAUCGCCAAGAUGUGCCCAUGAGGCACCCAGAUCUUGCGGCUUAGGUGUGCCCACAAAGCGCCUAGCUAAGCCACACAUGCCUUGUAACCUAAAAAUGACCAGAAAGCACUGGACUUGUAGUACUCCUAAACACCCAACCAGACCAAAACCAUUAACAACCAAUCGACACACAAUCAAAUUACAACCCAAAAACAAACACCCAAUAAACUUAGGAAAAUACAGAAAACAUAUUGCAAAUAUCCAGUGAAGUCCAAAAAAGUAUCGCACAUAUCCAUUACAUAAAAAAUGUCCAUAACCAAAAAUGGGGAAGAUUCCCCCCACAAUUCUCUCAUGCAACAACAUCAGAGUAUCGUCGGUAGCCUUCCUAGUCUUGGGUACGUCGCUAGCAGCCCUCUCAACAUCAACCACAUUCCUAGGUGUUGGAGCACUCCUGCCCAUGAAAAAUGACAUAUUGUAUCACCGUCGGAGAAAGAUCAUUUGAGGUGAUAUUCAGGUGAAAGUAUCUGGGGUGAUAUCCGAGUGAAAGCAUUUGGGUAUGGAGAAAACCCUAGCCCAACUAGGAAUGGCAAUGGAGCAGGUUCGGGACAUGUCAUUCCCAUCCAUUCCCGCACCUGAUUAUAUAGUUAUUUCCCAUCCCCGGCACAAACCCAUGUCGAGGCAGGUUGAUUGGUCCCCAUCCUCGUUAACAAAAGAAUUAAUAACCCCAUCCUCGCCCCGUCCCGAAUGUCCAUUGAGCCCUAACCCUAAUUGGUGAUGAGUAGAUCUUAUACCUAAAUGCACUUUCCUUUCACUACAAAAUAACGAGAUUAUGAUAAUAUACCAAAUAUGAAAAAAUAAUAUAAAAGUUGAAUUUAACACCACAACAAUCAAUAAUUUUAAGCUCAUAGUUAGUUUAAAUGAUUCAAAAUUAAUGCAAAACAGGAAAAAAAAAAAUCAUCUGAACAAUUUAUAAGAGCAUAGAAUGAACAAUGAACCAAACGAAAAAUGGGUUACUAUCAGCCAUGGAUGUGAAUCCCUCUUCAAGCCAAUCUUUGAACCAAAACUUCAUCAAAUCCACUACUUCAAAGGUUUUCGCGUUCCUUUUGAGUUGUGCUCUCAAACAAAGACUUCAAGGGGAUGCUCUAGAUGAUUGUGUUGCACAUAUUUAGGGCAAGGAGACCGAAGUUUAUAACUAGUUUGAUGUCGCGAUAGAGGAGUUUUGGGCUCUGAGGCUAAACCAAGAGCAAAAUGGAAUUGAUUUCAGAGUAUUUUAGUUUGGUGUGAGGGAGGAAGAAAAAGUGGCAUUGAUCCUGGAGUUAGGGUUUUAGGUAGUGCAUUAGAGGAAGAAGAAGAAGUGGUUGUCGGAAUUAGGGCAAAUGGGAAGAAUGAAAGACAAUGUAUCAGAGGAAAAAGAAGAAGAAGGAGCGGUUGUCAGAAUUAGGGCCCGCAAAUAAGAAAGAAUGAAGUAUAUAUAUACAAGGAGUUUUUUGACAUUUUACUAGUAAUUAAAGGAUAAGUUUGUAAAUUUAUAUCUGGGGUUGGGCGGGGUGGGUUGGAACAAAAUCCAUACCCGUCUCAAACCCGAUUCAAAAUUUUAUAAUAUUUCUAAAUCCGACCUAUACCCAUUUUUUUAUAUUUCACACCUGUCCCAAUAGGGGCGGGGCAAAGCGGGUUACCCGGUUAGCCCACAAAAUUAUUGUCCCUAAGCCUAACUAUCCCAUUUAUAAUGAUGUCAAAUACUUUCGAUCCAUUUUGAUAAUGUCUGUUCAUUUUAUUCGGGUUUAGGUCAGUCAUGUAAACUUGAUUGAAGUCAUUUGACAUAGCCUAACUGAGGCAUCUAGAAAAAGCACCAGUCAAAAGAUGGCUCCCAACUUUGGUAGCAUCUAGAACGUGGCCUUGUAAUAUGUAAGUGGUGUUACAUAAUUUCAGGCGCAUGAAGAUGAACAUAUCAUUGAAGUGCAAAAUAUGCCUCCAUGUGUGCAAUGGUAAAUCAAAAUAAUUGGUUAUGUUAUCAUGGAUAUCAACCUAUAAAAGAGAAAACAAGCCAAUUAUAUGGGAUUAUUCUCUCUUACUCGACAUUCUGUGUACCAACAACACCUAUCUAUAAAGCUUCUCUAACAAAAAAUAAAAAUAAAAAUACAUACAUAUAUAUAUAUAUAUAUAUAUGUAUAUAUAUAUGUAUAUAUAUAUAUAUAUUUCCUUAUUAACCCAAAAAUUGUAAAAGAUUGCAAGUAAUUCCAAAACUUCCAUCAAGCAUAUUAUAUAUAUAUAUAUGCAGAAAAUUGCACAUCAUUGAAAGAUGUCUCAUAUCAUGUCACUCCCCAAGACCAACUCCAAGGGCGUGACGGUCAUUUCACACCUCAAACCCAAAGGCUUAAAGUGUAACCUGACCCAAACAAUUAUUUUAUAACUGGAAGUUACCAAUUACUAAAUACUUGUUUAGAAUAGCGGAACAAAAUUCUAAAAUCUUCAAAACUUAACUUCAAAACUAAGUAUCCAUCAACCAAAAUCCAUUAUCCAAAUAAAUUGUAAACUCAAACAAUUAAAGUGCUAACAAAAAUUUUCAUAAUCUCCAAAUCUCAACUUCAAACUAUCAUAAAAUAAAAAUAAAAAAAUUAAAAGUUCAAUAUCUAAAUAGCUUCCAAAAACCAAAUAAUCCAAAUGAACAUAAACUUAUAAGCUAAUAAUGUCCAAAAAUAACAUCCUAAGCAAAAUCCUAAUGAUGACCAUUCCCCAACCUAGCCAUCACUCCUUGCCCGAACUAAGGGUACCUGAAAAAUUAUCAACAAAGGGGAAUAAGCUUAAAGCCCAAUAAAGAAUAUUAAAACAAUUUCAUGGAUUAAAUAGUUUCAAUUAUACUUGCAAAUAGGAGAUCUAGUGUAAAAUCAUUUUCAUAAGAACGUUUGAGUACAGAUAUGCUAAUACAUUUGAAGGUGUUUAACAAAAUUUUUUCCUAUAUAUCAAAUCAUUUCAUAUCCAUUUCAAAUCAAAUACAUUUCAACUGUUUUCACUCUUAUUAUCAAAUAACAAAUAGUGCCCAUUUAAGUGGGACUUUACAAAUAGGUGGCUAGCCUCAGAUGUUCAUUUUUAAGGUGGACGGAACCAAAUACUAAUACAAUAAUAUAUUUGAUCCAUGCUUAAAAGCAAAAUUAACAAUUACACAUUUCAAACAACAUAUAUAUAUAUAUAUAUAUAUUUUCUUUUGCAAAAUCUGUAUUAAUUUCCCUUACCUCAAAAGAAGUCUUCAAAAACUUGGGAGAAAAAUCAUUCAGGAAAAUCUACUCUUCACCUAACAAAGUAUAAGAGAAAUAAUUAUUACUAUUUAUCUAAAAUUACAGGUUUGACAAUUCUAAAAUUUUAGGUAUUCAAAUUAAUGUUUUUAAUUAUGAAAGAUAAUUUAAUCUAUUCCUAUUUUAGAAAAAUUAAUAAAUUUCUAAUUCAUAUAAAACUUAAAUUUUAUUUUCAAUUUAUUUCUUUCUUAGGGCACAACAUAAUUUAAUUAAACUACAAUUUAUUCUACUAAUUAAAUUUUAUGCUACUUAUUAACUUACCCUCAUCAUUAGUAUAAUAAUAUUGAUAACUUCUAUUCUCUUACUUUCAGUUUUUUUUUCCACUAAACAUAAACUAUAUCCCCGACAAUUCUCCAUUAUUGCUAACAUAAUAUAAUAUAUAUAUUAACUAUCAAACACCAUCCGUACACAUUUUCUUUUAUUAUUAAUAUUACUAUUUUUUUUUCUUUUCCCCAUUCUUCAUCUUCCACAAGCACACAUUCUUAUUUCUUUCUUUCUUUUUUUUUUUAAAAAAAAAACUUCCUCUAAUGCACACGUGUUCUCUUUCUUUCUUUCUUUCUUUCCUUUUCUAAUCCCUUAAGCCACAUAUAACAAUAUAUUUAUUUACUCAUUUAUUUAUUUAUUUUUAAAAAAAUUCAUUACUUAGAUCUAUUCAUCUAAGAAAUUUUGAAUUUCCUUAUUUUUAUCAAUAAAACAAUCUAUAUUCCUAAUUUCAAUAUUUUGACCUAAAAGUUUUAAAUAGGUUAACCCUAACCUAAAUCGAAAUCUUCCGGAGAAUCAAUUUUUUUUUUUAAAAAAAAAACUUAAGAUUUCUCAAUUUCUAACAAUAAAACCACCAAUAAUCCUAAAUUUCCAAUAUUUUGACAUUAAAACGAAUUAAAAAAAAUAAACUAACCCUAAUCUAACUAAAUUUUUUUUUUCAAAGAAUAACUAGCGUAUUCAGAACUAACUAACGAAUAUAAUAUAUUAAUUUAAGGUUAGAAUUUUACUUGGAAAAAACCUGAACUUCAACUCUGAAUCUCUAACUCUUGAGCCAUACGAUAUCCAAUUCUCUACUUCUUGUUGAUAAGGUUUUCUGAAUGGAGAAGACAAGAGGAAAAGUCCAAUUUAUACCUAGGAUUUUUAAUUGUAAAAGGACUCUUUCACCCUUAAUGAAUUUAAUUAAUUACUUAAUUACUUUAUAAAUUACUAUUUUACCCCUAGAUUAAAAUUUGGGGUGUUACAUAUCAAGUACUUAAGUCGCUACUUCCAACUGGCUGGCAGCAAAAGCGCAAGUUCAUGGUGAGUUCUCUCUAUAUCCCAUAUAUCAUUGCUUUAAUUAUUAAAAAAAAAAGGUUUAGCGAUAAAGUUCAUAUUAUAUAUUAUUACAAAAAAAGGUCUUGUAAUUAGUUGUGUGUUUUAUUUUUGUAAUUCCUGAGAUCUUGUUAAAGUAUGAGAGAUAUGGAGACAGUUUGUUAUGUUUCCUUAGUUUUUUUCCUUAAUAAAAAGAAACUAAAAUUAAGUUGACAAAAGAAAAGUGUAUUCAAAUAAUACAUAAUUUAGUAAUAAAUGUUGAAUGAAGGAAAGCAACAAUUUCUAUCUUUCAACAUCCUAAUCAUUUUCAUUCUACAGGGUCGUCCCGUCCAUCGCUUUCUGAAACUGGGUGGAACCUUUGCGGCAUUAAAAUCAUUUAUUUUUGGGAGUAGAAUACCAGAUUGGAUAACGUAUCAGAGCUCAGGGAGUGAAGUAAAAGCAAAGCUACUUCCAAAUUGGUUUAAUUCCAACUUCCUGGGUUUUGCUUUUAGUUUUAUCAUUUUUGGCCACUUCUCUUCGCAUGUUCAUGUUAAAAGCGGAUGUCUCAUUUGAUUGGACAUCUAGUGAUGAUUCUUUCCCCAUUGAUAUCAUGAUUUUCGAUAUGAUUUUCUGUAAGAGAAGGUUGAAGUCGGAUCACAUGUGCCUGUUUUAUGUACCACUUCCCCAAUGGAGGAAUUGCUCUCAAAUCAAGGUAUCAUUUAUGGCAUACUCCAAGGAGGGUAAGAUUGAAAUUAAGAGGUGUGGGGUUGGUCUAGUGUACAAUAAUGAAGAUGGGAAUCACAACAAUCCCCUAAUGAUCCAAUUCAACUCUAUUUCCUCUCCUCCUCCUCCUCCUCCUAGUAAGUCAACCGUUGUCCUUGAAGAAAUCCAUGAGGAGGAACCUACAGGAAAUGGGUGCUCUAGUGUUAAUGGCUCAGAAGAAGAGAAUUCUGAAUACCAUAUUGCUGAUGAGGAGGAGCCCAGUACUGCAACUGCCGGCUCUGAGGAUCACUCUGAAUCAGAUAUCUUUGAAAUGCAGUUAUUAAUGAUGACAUCCCUUGAUUAGGAGAAACAGACCAGACAAAUGCUUAAUAUGCACCCAGAUCUUCCUAUUACAUCUCUUGGUGAGUUAUGUGUUACUUUUCUUUUAUUUUCUUUUCUGCUUUUCUUUCUUUUCUGAUUUUGAGUAGAUUUCUUAAUUAAGACCAAUCUUCCAGAACUUAAUUAACUGGGUUGAUGGAUUGGUGAGGGGAUUAUUCUAGUGAAGGAGGAGGAGCAGAAGCAAAGGCAGGAGAGUAGGGAAAAGGUUUUGUAACAGAACCCAAUCUUCCAGAAUCUAAUUGUUGUUGUAUUGUUUUUCUUCAUUCUACGUAACUAAAGGAUUCAUAGUACUCUAAUUUGUUAGAUUCUUCACUUGAUACAUUUAUCACAGGUUUCACUACAAUGUGAAGUAUCAGUUACUAUGCAACCAAGUGACUGCAUGCUUCAAAACCUCAGCAGAACUCAGAGCCUUACAUUUGAUUGCAUUCCUUUUACUAUCUCCACCUUGCAUCAUACUCCCUAUAUCUCAACAUAUUAAUAAGCUUCAAAACUCAAAUAGAGCCUGCAUUUGAUCUCACACUCUCUUGCUUGGCCUCACUUUUAUUUGGUUAUAAUUUAAAUAUGGUAUUUCUGGUUUGAUUUUCUUUCUCCAUUGUAGAACCGUAGUUUUUAAGUAGGUCAUAAGUAAAUUUGAGCCAUUCCUUUGUUUUUUGAGUUGAUUUCUAUGCCUCACCAUGCAACUUGUUGCUCUUAUUUUAUUUCUAUUUCACAUGUUGUUGGUAUGCUUAAGAAUGAUUGUAAGUGAGAAUUUGGGACUAAAAGGAAAAAAAUAAAAAAUAAAAAACUAAUAGUCAAAAAAUAGAAAAAUGGGAAAGUUGUGCUUUGGGCUUCCCAUCCUAACAUAAUAGCAUUUUCAAAACCCAACAAUGGGAAAUAUGAGAACCAACUUUUAAUAUGAAAAGUUUUAUCAUUUUUGUGCACUCUGAGCCUGCUCCAUCUUUUGUGCCCAAAUUGCCCCUCCGUUUCUCCAACUCAGAAUCCUCAACAUCAUCCUAACCUCCAUAUCACUCUUUCUCAUUUGGAAGCUUUCUCUCAUCUUUCUUCAUUUCCGAAUACCCAAAAUCUCUCAUUUCAGUUUAGAAACCCAAAUCCAAAACUCCAAGACGAUGUCAAAAUGCAUUUUUUUGGCUCAUCUAGGAGCCAUGGGAGUCCAAGAGAAUAUGAGAAGAAUGAAAUGGAGCUCGGGUGGAGAGAGUGGGUACCCAAAAAUCGAAACCCUAACCUCCAAAUGUGUCCUAGACUCGCAAAUUUGUGUCCAAGAUAGCUCUAUAAGCAAGAAAUAGCACCAAACAUCUCUCCUAGACCAUUAAAUCUGCGAAGCCCUUGAAGAACCAAAGGAAAUGGUGCAGAAAAUGAAGCACAAUAGACUCUUAAAGUAUUGGGUCCCGAUGAAUCGGUCAACCGGUCCUCAAUCGGUCAACCGGUUCUCGAUCGGUGACUAUACCUUAGAUACUACCUUAACUGACCUUAGGUACUACAUUAAUUAAACUUAGGUAUUACUUGUGUGAAGCCUCAAAACUUCAUUUAUGGAUAUUACUUACUUCAUUUAUGACCUUUAGAGCAUGUCAUUUUGUGAUUAAUUAGUGUGAUUAGUUGGUUUAACUUUGGUAUUUUGGUGACUGUAUCUUAGGUACUACCUUAAUAGCCCUAAGGUACUACAUUAAUCUACCUUAGGUACUACCUUAACUGACCUUAGGUACUACCUAAGUAAAACUUGGGUUCUACCUAUCUGAAGUCUCCGAACUUCAUUUGUGGAUAUUACUUACUUCAUUUAGCAAGAAAGAUAAAUAUUCUAUGUGAAAAAAAUUUAUGAGAAAAAGGAGAUAGAAAUGUGAAGAGAGACACUUGAUGAAAUAAGAAAACUCAUUACAGUAUAGAUGUAAGAAUGAGUAAAAACCACCUAAUAGAGAUACAAAGGUGAAGAUGAAGAUACAAAAAAUCCAUCAAUCAAGAAACUAAUCUUAGGGAAUUAAGCUCACAAAAAAUAUCUAUGUGACCUAAGUGGAAAGUGCCAAGGUGAAUUAAGUGGAAACUAAACCAAGAGAUAUCCAAGUGAUGAAAAAAUGGGCCAAGUGACUUAAGAGUACACCUAAUGGGCCAGCUGCAUCUAAAUGGGCCUAGGGUGACAAGAACACCAAAAAAACCAAUCGAUCGACCCGGUUAAGAAAAAGUCUCAAAUUUCGAUAGAGUGUCCCUCGAGGAAUAAGGAAUCCAACAAAAAAAACAGGUGAGCAAUUCCGAGCUUGGAUGAAGGAGAAAUAACUAAAACAAGCCAGAGUGCUCCCGACUUGGAUGGGCUUUAGCGAACUUCAACUGAACUAUAGUCUUUAUGAAGACCUUAACUUCUAACCUGUAGUAUGAUACAAACCAAGGAAUUGACCAUGAUGACAUUUCAUAAUAGACCAAAUGCUCGCACUAAAUUGAACCAUAGGUGGACUCACGUGAUGUCCAAAAACCGAUUAACUCCAACAAGAGCCCCAUGGCCAUGACAUACAAAGGUUGGGUGCGGGCAACACCCCAAGAUACAUGCAAGUGUCAAGGGACAAAAUUGAGGGUCUAUAGUAGGAAUUUGGAGUAUGAGCGGAAUAGGGAAAACAACCCUUGCUAGUGCUAUUUACAGAAAAAUCAGUGGUCACUUUGAAGUGUGCUGUUUUUUUUUAAAUGUUGAGGAGGAUUUGGAAAAUGAGGGUUUAAUAAGAUUACAACAAAAGUUUCUUGCUCAACUAUUGGAGGAAUCAAAUCUAAAUAUUAAGGUCCUUACAUUUAUAAAGGAAAGGAUCCACUAAAUAAAGGUCCUUAUUGUUCUUGAUAAUGAGAAUGAUCCAAUAAUAUUGAAAUGCUUCGUUGGAAAUCGGGAGUGGUUUGGUCGAGAUUUAAUUAUGAUGAUGCUCAAAGGUUCCUUUCACAUUAUUUGUUAAAACAUGAAAUUCUUAGAGAUUAUUUCAUGGAACUUUCAAGAGAAGUAAUAGGUUAUGCUCAAAGCCUCCCAUUGGCUCUAGAAGUUUUAGGCUCUUUUUUAUUUAGCAUGACCAAAGAAGAAUGGAGAAAUCAAUUAGACAAAUUGAAAAGUACCCCUAAAAUGAAAAUUCAAGAAGUACUUAAAGUAAGUUAUGAUGGGCUAGAUGACAAGGAGAAGAAUAUAUUUCUAGACAUUGCAUAUUUCUUUAAAGGAGAGAAUAAAAAUUAUGUAAUGGAAAUACUAGAUGGUUGUAGCUUCUUCUCACUUAGUGGAACACGAGCUCUCAUUGAUAGGUCACUCAUAACCAUUUUUUUCAAAUAAGUUGAUGAUGCAUGACCUAAUACAAGAAAUGGGUAGGGAAAUUGUUCAUCAACAAUUCCUUGAAGAGCUUGGUAAACGCAGUAGAUUAUGGUUCCAUGAAGAUAUCUAUGAUGUAUUGAAAAAAAAUAUGGUAAGAGCAAAAAAUAUAAAAUUUAUUUUUUGUAAACAAAUUAAGAUUAGAAAUCAAGAAUUAUUUUCAUUUAAAUAGUUAUGUGUCGAUAAAUUUUAAUCGAAAGAUACUCUUUGGAUAGAUACCCAUAUUUGCAUAGAUACCCUUUGAGAUCACUACCUAAUGAUUUUAAUCCAAAGAAUCUUGUUGACCUUUUCAUAUCUUAUAGUCACAUUAAAAAACUUUGGAAAGAAACUCGAAAUGUCUGGGGAGAGGAAAGGUUCCUUUUUUUUUUUUUAGGGUACUCCCGGGAACAGAUCCAGUGGAGACGGGGUGGGGCCUGUAGCUCAGAGGAUUAUGAUGUAUUCACAUUAUUUUCUUUAGAGACAUGUAACCUAAGUAACCUAACCCACACACCCAUUUCUAGUUUGUGAACUUGCUUUGUUGUUUAAGGAGACACAUGAUUUGUUCUCUUAUUUUGUUUUUACUUUUAAAUAUAAAUAAAAUAAACUGUAACCCCAAAACUCAAUUAAAAAAUUAGUUUUGAAAGACAAAUUUUAUUACCAUCCGAGUCUUGCUAUCGAGUGGGAUGUGUGAAAAAAAUAUUGGUUCCAAUGCAUUCACUAUUCAAACCAAACACUUUGCCUAAAUUUCCUUUUGGGUUUAUUUAUAAGUUUUCCUUAUUUUUCUAUUUGGAUCAUAUUUUGUACAAGAAUUUCCUAUUAUUAUAAAAUAUAAAAAAAAAAGUGCCAUAGUGAUGUUUUAUUUACAAAAAUAUGUUCAUCCCUUUAUAAAAUAUUCCUAUGUUGAUAUGUACUUAUAAUAUUAUAUUUCAUUAUACUCAUAAAAUUAGAUUUCAUUGUACGAUAAGGAAAAUUGUUAAAAAUAUUAUAUAAAUAUUAUAAAUUAGGAGGGAAACGGAGAUGAUCAUAUAAAGCUUAUACCGAGUAGGUAUACACAGGAGAAAAAAAUAAGACACUAAGUGGAGUGAAGGCUCAUGGUUCAAGGUGUAGGUACAAAGAUGAGGAGACUUUGCUGCAAUGCCCUUCAACUUUGGGUCAAGCUUGGAUUUCUGCAAUGAUGACUGGGUCAAGGUAGACUUUCACUUCAAGAUUGACCUUCGCUUGAACCUCAAAAGCUGAUUUAUCUUCUUCAACCUUUUUUAUGCAUCCAAGUUGUGCAAAAGCAACAUAUUUAAUGCUUCAAUACUGCCUUCAUCCAGGUUGAAAAUACCCCUUUGUGAAUUUUGCCUAUGGGACUGGGACCAUAAACCAAAGCACAAGUUACGUUAACUGCCGAAGCAGUCGAUUAAAUUCCUAAUUUUAAACACUACAUAAGGGAACAAGAAAUUCACCUAGAAGGGAACUCUGCCAUUUCCUUGGGGAGACUAAAUCUCUGACUUUCAACAACCCAUUGUAAAUAAUCAUCCUGGAAUAUGAGAAAGCAAGAAAAAACAUUCAGCCAAAAAACUGCAACACCAACACCACAACUAGUUUGGAUGUAGUGGUGGAAAGAAAAGCAUCAGUCAUUUGUUGACCUUGCCCUAAGAUAAUGCCAAGAACUUGUCUUUCUGCUUCACCGGGCUCAAUUGCAUGAGCAGCCAAUGCACUUAAUGCAGCCUGACAACUCAAAUAGUUUGAAACAGUAUUUAUGUUCAGCGGUGGACUAUAACAAGAAUGAAAAAACAAAAAAGAAAAAAGCAAUAAACUGGCAUGUGCAAAAUGCCACCUACUAUGGGAGUUCAAGAGAUCUGCAUAAGGUGCAACUGCAGUGUGAAGGCUGCAAAAGGCCACAUUCCAUCAUCCUUUCUUCGAUUUGCAUUUUUCGAUAUGUAAAUACAGAUCAAAGCAUCUUACAAAUACAGGAGGCCAUGAUCAAAAGACAUAAAAGCAGCAAAUAAAGGAAACAAAGGAACUCUUACCAAUCAAUCCAGACUUUGCAGUAGAUUCUCUAACGAAAAAGCCCUCACUGGACUUUUCAAUAGGGAAAGAGUAUACAAGGACCAAUGGACCCAGAGGAUGAAGAAAGUAUUCCAGCAAAGAGACUCUCACUGGAUUCUUCAACUGGGAACAAUGUUCAGGAAGAAGGAAACAGGUACCAAGUGAUACAGACAGCGAAGAAAGCAGUUCAACGAUGAUGCAUUCAGAAGGCUCUUCAACAGGGCAGAGUGCACAAGAAGCAGAAAAACUGAAACCAAUGGACUUGGAUUCUACAGAAGGCACUCCAUAUACAGCAGGCUCUUCAUUUUCAUUUUAUGCAGUAGUUUUAGAUUCAUAUGAUGCCAUAUUAGGAUUUGAAUCCAGGUCCCUGUACGUUUUUCCAUUGGUUGUCAAACUUGGGUUCUACCUUAGGUACUACCUUAACUGACCUUAGGUACUACCUAAGUAAAACUUGGGUUCUACCUAUCUGAAGUCUCCGAACUUCAUUUGUGGAUAUUACUUACUUCAUUUAGCAAGAAAGAUAAAUAUUCUAUGUGGAAAAAUUUAUGAGAAAAAUGAGAUAGAAAUGUGAGGAGAGACACUUGAUGAAAUAAGAAAACUCAUUACAGUAUAGAUGUAAGAAUGAGUAAAAACCACCUAAUAGAGAUACAAAGGUGAAGAUGAAGAUACAAAAAAUCCAUCAAUCAAGAAACUAAUCUUAGGGGAUUAAGCUCACAAAAAAUAUCUAAGUGACCUAUGUGACCUAAGUGGAAAGUGCCAAGGUGAAUUAAGUGGAAACUAAACCAAGGAGAUAUCCAAGUGAUCAAAAAACGUGCCAAGUGACUUAGGAGUACACCUAAUGGGCCAGCUGCAUCUAAAUGGGCCUAGGGUGACAAGAACACCAAAAAAACCAAUCGAUCGAUGCGGUUGAGAAAAAUUCUCAAAUUUUGAUAGAGUGUCCCUCGAGGAAUAAGUAAUCCAACAAAAAAAAAACAAGGUGCGCAAUUCCGAGCUCGGAUAAGAGAGAAAUAACUAAAACAAGCCAGAGUGCUCCCGACUUGGAUGGGCUUUAGCAAACUUCAACUGAACUACAAUCUUUAUGAAGACCUUAACUUCUAACCUGUAGUAUGAUACAAACCAAGGAAUUGACCAUGACGACAUUUCAUAAUGGACCAAAUGCUCGCACUAAAUCUAACCAUAGGUGGACUCACGUGAUGUCCGAAAACCGAUUAACCCCAACAAGGGCCCCAUGGUCGUGACAUACAAAGGUUGGGUGCGGGCGAUACCCCCAAGAUACAUGCAAGUGUCAAGGGACAAAAUUGAGGGUCUACAGUAGGAAUUUGGAGUAUGAGCGGAAUAGGGAAAACAACCCUUGCUAGUGCUAUUUACAGAAAAAUCAGUGGUCACUUUGAAGUGUGUUGUUUUUUUGAAAAUGUUGAGGAGGAUUUGGAAAAUGAGGGUUUAAUAAGAUUACAACAAAAGUUUCUUGCUCAACUAUUGGAGAAACCAAAUCUAAAUAUUAAGGUACUCAUAUCUAUAAAGGAAAGGCUUCACUCGAAAAAGGUCCUUAUUGUUCUUGAUAAUGAGAAUGAUCCAAUAAUAUUGAAAUGCUUGGUUGGAAACCAGGAGUGGUUUGGUCGAGAUUUAAUUAUGAUGAAGCUCAAAGGUUCCUUUCACAUUAUUUGUUAAAACAUGAAAUUCUUAGAGAUGAUUUCAUGGAACUUUCAAGAGAAGUAAUAGGUUAUGCUCAAAGCCUCCCAUUGGCUCUAGAAGUUUUAGGCUCUUUUUUAUUUAGCAUGACCAAAGAAGAAUGGAGAAAUCAAUUAGACAAAUUGAAAAGUACCCCUAAUAUGAAAAUUCAAGAAGUACUUAAAGUAAGUUAUGAUGGGCUAGAUGACAAGGAGAAAAAUAUAUUUCUAGACAUUGCAUGUUUCUUUAAAGGAGAAGAUAAAAAUUAUGUAAUGGAAAUACUAGAUGGUUGCAGCUUCUUCUCACUUAGUGGAACACGAGCUCUCAUUGAUAGGUCACUCAUAACCAUUUUUUCAAAUAAGUUGAUGAUGCAUGACCUAAUAAAAGAAAUGGGUAGGGAAAUUGUUCGUCAACAAUUCCUUGAAGAGCCUGGUAAACACAAUAGAUUAUAGUUCUAUGAAGAUAUCUAUGAUGUAUUGAAAAAAAAUAUGGGAAGAGCAAAAAAUAUAAAAUUUAUUUUUUGUAAACAAAUUAAGAUUAGAAAUCAAGAAUUAUUUUGAUUUAAAUAGUUAUGUGUUGAUAAAUUUUAAUCGAAAGAUACUCUUUGGAUAGAUACCCAUAUUUGCAUAGAUACCCUUUGAGAUCACUACCUAAUGAUUUUAAUCCAAAGAAUCUUGUUGAUCUUUUCAUAUCUUAUAGUCACAUUAAAAAACUUUGGAAAGAAAUAAAUGUAUGAUUAUGAUGUAUUCACAUUAUUUUCUUUAGAGACAUGUAACCUAAGUAACCUAACCCUCACACUCAUUUCUAGUUUGUGAACUUGCUUUGUUGUUUAAGGAGACACAUGAUUUGCUCUCUUAUUUUGUUUUUACUUUUAAAUAUAAAUAAAAUAAAUUGUAACCCCAAAACUCAAUUAAAAAAUUAGUUUUGAAAGACAAAUUUUGUUACCGUCCAAGUCUUGCUAUCGAGUGGGAUGCAUGAAAAAAAUAUUGGUUCCCAUGCAUUCCCUAUUCAAACCAAACACUUUGCCUAAAUUUUCUUUUGGGUGUAUUUAUAAGUUUUCCUUAUUUUUCUAUUUGAAUCAUAUUUUGUAAAAGAAUUUCCUAUUAUUAAAAAAAAAAAAAAAAGUGCCAUAGUGAUGUUUUAUUUGCAAAAAUAUGUUCAUCCCUUUAUAAAAUAUUCCUAUGUUGAUAUGUACUUAUAAAAUUAGAUUUCAUUGUACGAUAAGGAAAAUUGUUAAAAAUAUUAUAUAAAUAUUAUAAAUUAGGAGGGAAACGGAGAUGAUCAUAUAAAACUCAUACCGAGUAGGUAUACACAUGAAAAUAAGACACUAAGUCGAGUGAAGGCUCAUGAUUCAAGGUGUAGGCUCAUGGUUCAAGGCUCAUGGGCCUGGGACCAUAAACCAAAGCACAAGUUACAGUAACUGCCGAAGCAGUCGAUUAAAUUCCUAAUUUUAAACACUACAUAAGGGAACAAGAAAUUCAGCUAGAAGGGAACUCUGCCAUUUCCUUGGGGAGACUAAAUCUCUGACUUUCAACAACCCAUUGUAAAUAAUCAUCCUGGAAUAUGAGAAAGCAAGAUAAAGCAUUCAGCCAAAAAACUGCAACACCAACACCACAACUAGUUUGGAUGUAGUGGUGGAAAGAAGAGCAUCAGUCAUUUGUUGACCUUGCCCUAAGAUAAUGCCAAGAACUUGUCUUUCUGCUUCACCGGGCUCAAUUGCAUGAGCAGCCAAUGCACUUAAUGCAGCCUGACAACUCAAAUAGUUUGAAACAGUAUUUAUUUUCAGCGGUGGACUAUAACAAGAAUGAAAAAAAAAAAAGGAAAAAAAAAAAAGAAAAAUGCAAUAAACUGGCAUGUGCAAAAGAUCUGCAUAAGGUGCAACUGCAGUGUGAAGGUUGCAAAAGGCCACAUUCCAUCAUCCCUUCUUCGAUUUGCAUUUUUCGAUAUGUAAAUACAGAUCAAAGCAUCUUAGAAAUACAUAAAAGCAGCAAAUAAAGGAAACAAAGGAACUCUUACCAAUCAAUCCAGACUUUGCAGUAGAUUCUCUAACGAAAAAGCCCUCACUGGACUUUUCAAUAGGGAAAGAGUAUACAAGGACCAAUGGACCCAGAGGAUGAAGAAAGUAUUCCAGCAAAGAGACUCUCACUGGAUUCUUCAACUGGGAACAAUGUUCAGGAAGAAGGAAACAGGUACCAAGUGAUACAGACAGAGAAGAAAGCAGUUCAACGAUGAUGCAUUCAGAAGGCUCUUCAACAGGGCAGAGUGCACAAGAAGCAGAAAAACCGAAACCAAUGGACUUGGAUUCUACAGAAGGCACUCCAUAUACAGCAGGCUCUUCAUUUUCAUUUUAUGCAGUAGUUUUAGAUUCUUAUCCCACAUCUUUUUCUUCUCUUUCCUUCUGUCACCACAGUCAUAUGAUGCCAUAUUAGGAUUUGAAUCCAGGUCCCUGUACGUUUUUCCAUUGGUUGUCAAACUAAGAUCAUGGAAUUGUGCAUAUUGGUAUUCUUUAGAAUCAUAAAAGAGUAUAAUUUCAUAAUGGUCAUGAAAUAUUAUGAUCUCCUAUCCAAAUAAAGAACCAAACAAACAAAUCAUCCAAAUUAUAUCAAGAAGUAAAUUUUAAAAAAAUGCAAAAUCGCCAACCAUAAUAGUUGCAUCCCAGCCCUAGGUUUUCAUUACUGCAGGAACCCUGUAUCUCUAUUUUCUAUGCAUAGGUUCAACCACAAAGGAGCCUUUGUUUAUCAUCCAAGUAAAUAGGGAAACAACUGAAGAACAUGCUCAACCAGGAAAGCAGAACACUAAUUCUAUAAUAAGAUAGAAAUUACUCCAUCAAAGCUAAUGCCUCUGGAAGAAUAGACAAUCAGAUCCAACAACAGCAGCAAAGCAAAGACGUCAUACCUCAGGGCUUGAAAUCAGCAAAUCAUAAUGCCUCCACACCUCUGAAAUCAGCAUCAUGAAUCCCACCAGAUCUUAGGGCUUACUUUUGGACCUGAAACAUAGAAAUUACUUGGUAGUUAAACGACUCAACACUAUUCGGACUUUUUUAGGAGUAGAAGGCGAUCUGCCGCAGUAUUUGGAGGGCUGCGGCAGAUGAAAAGGGUUUUCUAUUUUUUAUUUUUCACGUCUCCUGCGUUUCCCUUUUGGUUACGAAGGCUAUUCCCUUCAUCCAAAAGAAGAAGCAUAAUAUUCCCAUAACCACUCCCACAAAGAAAAGCAAUCCAAAAGUAAAAGUGGGUUCAGAAUAAGAUAUAGCAUAUUUCGAUGGGUAACCUCUGAUUCUGAGUCAUGGUCACGUCCUCACAUUCAAUGGGUUCCCCCGCAGAGAUUUCUUUAAGGACAAGAGUUGACUCAUUAGGGGAGGAGUAGAGAAGAGAGAAUUGAAAUUCACCUCUUCAUUAACAUACAUUAAACCUAACCCACAUCUCUUAAUUUCAUAAUAGUUCGGCACGGACAUUAUUGCAAAUGUAGCCUUGAUGUGAAUGACUUGAUGCGGACUGAGUGAGGGUUGAACUGGUGCAAAAGUCAGAACCACAUGAUCCCCUUCAGCGAAAACACUAUUUUCCAUGGGGAAAGAAAUACCAGUUUCGAAAGAACGGCGACAUGUGCCAAAGUCCAAGAAAACACGUGCCCAAAACCAAUCAUCAUAAGCGACAGGAAACCGGCCACCGAAGACAAGAGCCAAUGCAAAACCCAGGCAGUUGGUAGACCAAUUUAGGGGUAGGUCUGCUUCAAUUACAUUCCUCGAGCUCUGAUACCUGAUCCAAUCUGGUAUUCUACUCCCAGGAAUCACAACACCGAAUGUAGAAUCCUGCAGAAAGAAAAUAAAUAAUGUCCAUGUUGAGAGAGCGAGAAAUUGCUACUUUCCCAUCUUGAUUCAUUCAACAUUUAUUUUACACUAUCAGUCUAAUUUAGUAAAACAGAACAAAGACUAAAAUAUGAGUUGUCUCCUCAUAUUUCAUACAGGCAAAAGCUUUUUAUUUUUUAUUUUUUAUUUUUUAUAACGAAAAUUGGAUUUAAAGAGAACUCACUAGGGAUUCGAGUUCCCGCGGUCUCAGCAGAGUAUGCACCUUCGUUGUAAGUAGCAAGUUGAGUAAUUCAGUUGUUCCCAACGAUGUGCAAUUUUUUGCAUUUAAAGAACGUAUGCUUGAUGGAAGCUGUGAAAGUGCCUCUAGUCUUUUACAAUUUCCCAACCGAAGCGUUUCCAGGUGAGAGAGUCCACUCAUGUUAGGCAAAGUGACAAAGUUGUUUCCACUUAAAUUUAACCAUUCAAGUGAAACUAAGAAGCCAAGGCCACUAACAUUUGCUCCAUCUGAUAUAUUGCAGUAACUUAAAUCUAGGUUCUUUAAAGAGCAUAAGUUUGAGGAAGAAGGUACCGUGAAACAAAUAGAAUUUGAACUUCUUUUUGGCCACAACCAUGAGGCAGAUGCUGGUCCUUUACAUCCACCGAAAGAUAACUUUUCAAGGUUUCUCAUGGAAAAAAAGGAGGGGGGUAGUACUCUUACCACAAUUCCAUCUGCGUGAAGCUCCUUCAACAUUUCUAAGUUCCCAAAAUUCUCUGGAAAUUCUUCAAAUUUGGAGCAACCAGAAAGAAUAAAGGUUUCAAGAGAUUUCAAACUACAAGUGCUGCUUGGAAGCCUUCUAAGCAUUGUGCAAUUUUUUAAACUCAAGAAAUUUAGCUUCUUCAAAACUCCAAGUGAUGGGUGAACCUUAGGCAAAUUUAU